rnacentral:lncRNA from 1 species
CUGAUCGUCGUUCUGCAGAGCCCACUGCAAGUUCGUUCCAUCCAGAUUGAUCGCCACAUGGUCCCGGUUUGAAGCGGUUCAGAGGAUCAUAUUGAGUCAAGAGCAUCUGUCAUAUGUGAUCAUCUAAGGUUUGUUUAUUUUGCAAAGCUCUUCGAAGUUUUCAAGAGUGUGCACUCACUAGUACCUUGUCCUGGUCAACCUUUUGAGUGCCAAACCGGUUACCUUGUUUACAAAGUGAAGUACUUGGUAUGAGCAAAAAGUGGAUUAGACAAACAUGGUUAGUAUCAUUACCGUUACACUAUAUCCUUAAGAAAUCCAUGUAUUAUAUAGUUGAAAUAAAGUUAAAUAUACUUUAUCGUACUUUAAUUAGCCACAAUAUUGUAUUCAGUGAUGCAUUUGGCCUUCCUUGGUCACUUUAAAUUGGUUAAGAAAUAAAGUUAUGACUAAGCUAGAACAUGCUUGGAGGGUAAAGAGCAUGAGGGUUAAAACCCAUCUUGCUUCACAAACAAAAAUAUAAUAAAGCAUGACUACAUUCUUAGAUUAGGAGAUUGAGAUAGGACAUAUAACACUUUAUUGAUCUUGGCAAGUAUGAAAUAUGUUUUAGAACAAUGUCUUUUGAAUUAUAUGGCAAGUUAUAGAAACUAACAAUCUUAUGUGAAGUAGAAUGUACAUGCUAAGAGACACAAUAGUGACUGCAGUAAAACUUUCUUUUAUUUUAUGAUAUUUAACUUUCAUAUAAACUAAAGGUAAUCUAGGAUCCACUACCAAAUGAGCUACAUCACAACCAAAAUAAAUAAUGGAAAGCACUAUCCAUACCCUCAUAGAGCUAAUAUUAAUAUAAAGUUGGUGAUAAAACUUAAAAUUGGAAAUACAACCUCAAAGGACAAACAAAUUUUAUAAAAUUCAAAAUUAAGCUAGGUGGAGAAUGGCUAUCUGCAAUUUCUAAAGGGCUGUUUUAGUUAUUGGAGUUGCCAUAUGUAGUGCUAUUGCAAUAUAGUUUGCAAAUGGGAUGCUUUUCACAUUUGCUAGUAUACAUUGCAUUGAUAAGUUCAAAUAUAGAAGGUAUUGUUCAUCCAAGUUUAGCCCAACAUGACAGAGUGAAAAAUGCUUGAUUCUGGAUUAUUGCUAUAUACUACUCAAAAAAAAAAAAAAAGCAUAAGAAACAUCAUAAAAAGCUAGAACUAAAUACUUAUGGCAAAGUACCACCUUCAUCACUAUAUAAAAACAGUUUAAGCAAGAGUUCAAUAUAUUUGUUGCUUAAUAUUCUGACUAUAUUAUAAAAACAAUAAAUAUAUUAAAGAAAUAGAAAGCAUAUAUGUAUUGAGAUGAUCUAUAAAGCAAAAAGUUCUAUAAAUACUUUUCAAUCAGUUAAAGGUUUUAGAAUAUUUAAGGUUAAAUAUCCUUUAGUUUGAGUAGUAUUGGAUUGGAUAAUUUUCAGGUUAAAUGCUCUUGAGUUUAAGUAAUAUUGGAUUAGAUGACUUUCGGGAAGUCCAAAUUCAAAAGUUUAUAUGUAUAUUUUUACAAUUUUGUGCUCCAUUAGUUGAAACAAAUUAGUUGGAACAUAAGAAGUUUUGAAAUAUUCAUUAUUUCAAAAUACUCAAACUUCAUGGAUGUUUUAAAUUGUAACUCAAUGUGCAAUAUUUGGUAUAUAAAAGCCGCAAGACACAACUCUCUUAAGAGCUUUACUCUCUUGACACUUUACCCUAAACUACUAAAUAUUAAUCUUAAUGCACUUUUAUUUAUAGGUUUUUUUCUUUUAUAUUUGAACCUUAACAGAUUGUCUUUCGAGUCAUUCUCUUUAAUUUCUUAUAAUUUACCAUGCAUUAGAUGCAUCUAUAAUGUUAAUAUCCUCCAUUUACUUGAAUAAUUACUUAUAAAAUCAUAUCACUUUUUCAUAAAGCUAUAGAGAUGUUUAAUGUGCAGGAAGAAGAAAACCAAAAUUUAGAAAGAUUUAAGUGUAUAUUUUAUACUUAGUUUCAUGUUGAGAUGUCAUGGAUAAAAAGGCUAACUUAGGAGGCCCAUAUUCUAUUUAUAUCCCUCUUCAUAUUGUUAGCCUCUACUUUAGUGCAUGAUAUCUUCUAAUCCAUUUUGGUUGGCCAAAUUUGCGAAUAGCAUAUGAAUAAAUGUUGAAAAUUCUAUAUGACUGUUUUGUAGUUGAUAAAUAAUGUAAUCUACAAAUCAUUGUAUAGACAUUUAUAAUACACUAUGAGAGCAAGGCAUGAGAUAGUAACAUAAAAAAGUUUGAAAACCAAAUCAAGUACUUGCAAUCCAUAUAGCAUAGUGCAUAAUACACUUUGUUGGUAUAUAUCUACCUCUGAAUCUUAAACAAGUGCCUUUCUGUGAGCCUUAUAAAGUUUUAUAUAGCUAAAGUGUCACAAAUUUGAUGCUGGCUAAAAUAGUAUCUUACUAUUUGACAGUUGAACAAGCAUUCACAAUCCCCAAUAUAGUAAAUGAUUCAUGAGAACAUUAGUGUGGACAUGAUGAAGUAUCUCUGAUGGUGAUAUUCUAUUAUAAAUGACUCUCUAAUUUACAUAAAAAAACCUCAUAUAUUUGUACAAUAUUGGCUUUGAAAUCUAUAGAUAAAAUACCAAGUAAUCCAUUGUUUUCGUUUCACAAAUCUUAAAAUGCAUUCAUAAAUAAAAAAUAGUUAGAUUGCUAGUUUGACAUAUAGUAUAUAUAGUCAAGUCUAAGAAACAUGAGUAAAUUUCUAUUGUUAAUUUCAAAUUUCUUUGUUAUACAUAACAACAUUCUUUUGCUUAAGAAUUUUGCCAAGUCUUAUAAAAGUGCAAGAUGAGAAAAAUGGAUAGUCUAUCCUAUAUGAUUUAAAGUAUUUCUCAACAUCUUAGAGUGAUAACAAGGAACAGUAUAUAGAGGUAUUUAAUUUUCUUAAAUUCUUAAGGAUCUGAUUGUAAAAAUGUCAAUAUUUCCUAGAUUCUUUCCUUAUGAAUCAUGUCAUCAAAAGAAAAUAAAACUAUUUAACUAUUUCAAUUGUGAAUCACUUUGCCAUUGCCCUUGAUUUUUCAAUACCAAUACCCUUAAUUUUGGACUCCACCAAGACCCCACUGACAAAUAGUCCUCACCUAAAAAAUGACCCUAAUCAAAUGAUGAGCAAACAUAUGUCAUUAGCAUACCAUAGUUAUGCAUAAUAGACAUGUAUGGCUAACAUCUCAUCAUACUAAAUGCCCAUUGGAUGUACAUAAUAGCAACAUAGUUAUGGUGGGCCAAUGAAUGUCACCAUAUGGCAGAUGUAAUAUCAUGCAAUAUGGAAUUUUUUCAUGUAGCACCGGUUUAUGAAUACACCAUAGUUGUUUGUUUGAGCAAGAUAUGAUUUUUGGUGCAAUGGUAUUAAUUUUAUUGUGAUGUUCAAGCACGUAUUAGAAGAAAACAACAAACAAUUAGAGAUAGUAAGGAAGACAACCGAGAAGGAGGAGAAAGACAAGAUUCUCCCGCUGAACUUGUUAUUUGUAAUUUUGCACAAAAAAAAAGUAUGAAAAAUAAAUUAAUGAAGAAAUACUAAUGUGUGCUUUCUUGACCUUUAUUAUAAACGUUAGUUAUAAUUGUAAAGUCCACAACUUGUCCAAAAGUGCAUUCUUGUUAAAGGAGAAUGUCCACCAAGCUUGCAGUUUCACAUGAAAAUUGAGAGUAACUAUGUGAUCAAAGGAAUAGAGACAAUGCUCACCACCACUUUGAAUGGGAUUCAUCACAAGAAAGCUAGGCAAUGGCUUCAUUGGGAACACCACUUUCUAGAAGUAUGGUUUCACCUCCAUGAAAUUUGAAGGUAGUGACUUUUUGGAAGGCCAAUGUGACACUACACGCAGUGGCCAUGGAGGACAAUUAGAUUCUAGGCCCACGCUUAUGUGGAGCAGGGUCUUCUACCAUUGCCAAAGAUUCAAAUAUGAUACCAUGGAUGGGCAUAUGCAGACACCAUUGCAUUGCACUUUGCUUUGAAAUCCUUUCAAAAAAAUCUCUUAGUGUAUUGCUUUGCGACACAUUGCAUUUCUGGGCAUGGGGCAUCUUGCCAAUCCAUGGAGACUGAUCGCAAUUCUCCAAGAGAUCCUAGCGGGAGCAAUUGCCAUUCCGAGACCAUUAUUAAAUGUGUGAAUUUUGUUGACUAAGGAGAAGAAAGUCAGAUUUGUGCCGUCCAUUUGAAGGAAAAUCUUGCAAUGAUCAAAACUCCUUGGUUACAAUGCCAGCCCAAUAUCUUUUCACUAUUAAUUCCCUCUCUUAUCAUGCAGCAGACUCUAAAUUCUUGUUGCCCCGAGUAUUCUCUUGUGCCAAUAGCUUGUAAGCCACAAAAUUUUCCUUUCCAAUUUGCUAGCUUACCUCGUCUAUCCGACCACCUCUGCUUUGGCUUGUGCUAAGUUCCCUCGCCAAAGUUCCCGCCUAUGGUACCAGCUCCUACUUGGUCCUACUUGGUUUCAGCUACUUACUGCACGAGUAACGGAGUGUUAGCCAUCCAUCUACAGAUUCCCAAAUCUCUCCCAAUCCCCCUCCCCGGGUUAGACUGGACUUAAGGUUCGGCUACACUCCCCGCAGGCACAAGCAGCCAAGCACACCAAGCCUCCAGAUUCCUAACACCCCUUGGUACCACAAGACUUGAUCAUGGGACCCUCUAAAUCCCAAGUCUUGGGUGUAGCACUUGCUUCGGGACGUCAGGCGAAACACUGUGGCCUAACGGCCCGGUAUGGGUACCUCUACCCCCCCACUUCCAUCCUGAAGGGAAGGCCCAAGCCCCUAGGAAGGGCGAGGACCAAUGAGCCACAAGGUACUCAAGUGGGGCACCACUCCACAUGAGCCGGGAGCACCGCAGUCGGUUUCCCUUUCAGGAGUGGGAGCUGCUCUUGAGCACUUCCUUAGGUGGCCCCUCCGGCACCACUCAAGCCCAUGCUCACUCCCACCCAAGGCCCCUCGGCCCCAGUCUCAACCUCAAGUCAGUUUGGAAGCACCACUGGAGAGUUCCUUCAAGACUGGUUCCUGGACCUCACUAUCCCUACUAUACUUUUGGAACCCCCUGCAGCCCCCCCCCCCCCUGGGAGACGCACGCUUUGGGCUUUCACCCCUUGACCUGUAUUAGUAUUUUGUAGCGCACCUUAUCUCUCUCCCCUUAAACCAACUGGAAAAGGGGCAAUUGCUUGAUGAGAGAGCCCUUAGUGGCUAUUUUAUCCCCAUUUAUCUCCCAAGGUUCCAAGGAUCCAUGGUGACAGUAUAUCCAAAUCUUAUCCCAUGAUCACAUGCGCUACACUCACCCCCCCUUUAGAGAUGUCAAUGUCCUCAUUGACUAUUGACUAACAACCCCUACUGAGCCAAGGGGAACCAACACCUCCAUUUCCGCACUCAAUCUACCAAUCCUUCCAUUGUGUAGACUAGCUAUUCCAUGUGAGGCAACUAGUCAUCCACCCGUACCGCAGUCCCACGGUGGAUACCUUCGUCCGUGGAUACUCCACACAAGAGGAAGGACGUACGCAUGGAUGCCCAAUACGUAUGGAUGUCCAAUACAUACGAUUUUCAAAUUUAGGGGUAAAAAUAUACCUUGCUCAAGGGUAUAUUAUAUUUUAGGUAGCCACUAAUCAAUGGGAAUCGAACCCGUGCCAUUUGCUCCGAUACCAACUAUAGCGCACCUUAUCUCUCUCCCCUUAAGCCAACUGGAAAAGGGGCAAUUGCUUGAUGAGAGAGCCCUUAGUGGCUAUUUUAUCCCCAUUUAUUUGCUUGAUGAGAGAGCCCUAAUUGGCUAUUUUAUCCCCAUUUAUCUCCCAAGGUUCCAAGGAUCCACGGUGACAGUAUAUCCAAAUCUCAUCCCAUGAUCACAUGCGCUACAUAUUUGGACUUAGUCUCUGGCUCGAUCUCGGACCCGAUUUCAGAUCCGACUUCGGAUUCGGUCUCGGACUCGAUCUCGGACUCGAUCUCGGACCCGAUCUCGGACCCGACCUCGGACUCGACCUCGGACUCGGUCUCGGACCCGAUUUCGGAUCUCGGACUUCGUCUCGAACUCGGUCUCGAACUCGGACUCGAACUCGGUCCCCGAGUCAGUCUUGGACUCGAUUCUGGACUCUAUCUCGAACUCAGUCCUAGAGUCGGUCUUGGACUCGAUCCUCGACUUGGUCCCAUCCGAUGAACUCUUUGUCAUUUCGGUCAAGCUUUUGGGGAUCCUUUAGCCUACGACAUCUUGGGGAGUCGGUUCCUUACAACUCCACCACCCAUAGAAGAAGUUUGAUGCCCAUAUCGAACGUCUCGUUUUAUUCUACGACUUGUUGACCAUGGCUCCGGGGGCAUCCCCCCACUUAGCGGUGUGCCUAAGUUAGCCUCCCCGGCCAAGAGCCCAUGAAAAUGGAAUAUAGGUGUCCCUAUACCCCUAACCUCACCACGCCCUAGUAUGGGGUCGGGACUUGAACCCAGCCUUGCUUUACUAAGGGGUUGGGACUCGAACCCAACCUCUGUAGAAUACGUCUACGGAUUCGACAUCCCCACGGGGAGUCGGGCGUAGUGCCCUACGCCUGGUCGACCUAUCCAACCCAUGCUAAUUAGCUUACCUUCGGCGCGCCUUCGGGUCCCAACAUAUGCCACUUGCUCAACUUUGCAAAUUGAUAUUUUUAAUUGAAUUUUGCAUAAGUACAUAGAGUUCUGCCUUGCAGAAAUUCCUCCACUAGAUCUCACGCGUUCGCUAGGUUCUCCUCCGGUUCCCAUGUUGCUUCGCAGUGUGGAAAUCCUUUCCACUUCACAUGGAACUCUCUCACCUCGUGUCCUUGUCGCUUGCUCUUGCGCGCAUUGAGGAUGGCCUCGACUUCGUAUUCCUCUUCCCCUUGGAUAACCUCAGGUAAAGGUCUCACUUGGUCCUUGCGAAGCGGAUCCUCAAAGUACGGCUUGAGUAAGUUCACGUGGAACACUAGGUGCAUCUUCCCCAUCUCUCGAGGAAGUCAGAGACGGUAAGCCACUUUACCGAUUCGUGCCUCAAUCUCGUAAAGCCCCGCGAACCUGCUUAAGGAACUCAAGAUCAAUUCAUUUACAGGAAUACAUGCAUCUUUACCUUUGGGUCAACUUUCGGCUGAACCCACUUGGUAGUCUGAGGUUCUUGGUGUUCAGCCACACCUUCUCCCCAGCUUGGAACUCUAUAUCCCGACGCUUUUGGUUUGCGUAUUUGGUUUGCCUUUGUUGAGCCCGUUCCAAGGAAUCCCUCACUAGAUUCCAAAUGCUGAGUCUUUCCGCCGUGAAUGCCUCCACUACGGGCAACUCUCCAUGAUACUCGGCCACGCCGAGUUCCACAGGACCUUCAAUAGCUCGCCCAUUGAUGACUUCCCAUGGACUCACCCCGAUACUCGAAUGUGGUGAGUUGUUAUAACACAUUUCCGCAAGUCCCAAAUGACUUACCCAAUCGGUCUGGUCUCCCGAGACAUAGCAUCGCAAAUAAUCCUCCAGCUGCCUAUUCACCCUUUCCGUUUGUCCGUCUGUCAAGAAGUGUUAGUGCCAACAACUUGACUUAAUACCCCAUACCUGUCUGUGGGUGAUAGGCUGUAAGCUCUAUUUCGUUAAAGUGGGAUUUAUUCAGUAAAAUGGGAUUAGGUACAAAUUUUCAAGUAUUUGAAAAUGACGUGAAAUUAUAUGUUUUUUGUCUAGGGGCUAGACAUAUCUGGGGCAUGGUGACUAGCGCGGUGACUUUGUGUCCAGACUGAGUCCAUUUGGUUGUAUAAUAAAUCUCAUUGUCAAGGUGAACAAGCCGAAUCUGAAGCUAAAGAAGAGCGAUGGCAUUCGCGCACACACUAUUUGUUUGUUCAUUGAGCGUGUGGUGAGCUUUCCAAGAUGAACGUCAUUCCUAUUAGCCAGACAUAUAACUUAAUGGUGAGAACAUUUAGAUAUUAUUCAAUGUUAUCUUUUUCUAACGAAUCUAAUUGUGAAGGUGUAGCAAGAGGCAUUGCUAGUCUGGAGAAGUCAUUUAACUCAUUUGACCCUUAGUGUAUUUUCAUGAAACUAAAUAACAUUCAUAUUAUUAAGGAAUUUCUCUAGUACCUUUUUUUUACGACAUAGAGGCUUGCAUUUCUUUCAAAGGUGAUUUAGUAAAAGGCCUGAGGGCACAUGCCAUUCUAUUUCUCAGACCGGUAUUAAGAUAUACUAGUGCAAAGGGAAAAAGGUAUUUGGUGAUCAAGUAAAUGGCAUGAGGGCACACGCCAUUAUAAGCCUAAGCGCUAGUGGACACCUCCUUUUUGGUGUCACGCCUCACGCCUCACGCCAUCAUGCCAUGCCAUCACGCCUCCUCUGAUUCAGAUUCGGAUUGUUCACCUUGAAAUAAAAUACAUUAGAAACUUAGUAAAGGAAUAUUAAUGAAUCUCACCUUGAACCCGGGUUAUGAAUGCUCUUGCUGCAUCUCUUGCAUGGUCUGGCAAGGUGAUGGUGGCACUCUGCUUCCGCAUCCAACCAUGCACAACAUUAUCCACCGAUAUGCUCAUGCUGGGAUCCCUUGGAUUCAGCACCCAUCUCUUUUCUAGGCAAUCCUUCGUAUAUCCGGAACUUGGCUUGAACCACUCCACAGUUACAUUGAAGGAGUUAGUUUCCGCGUCCUCCUCUGCAUCAGUGAUGCAGCGCCCCACCCAUAUCAUUUGUUUUUAUUACUGGGUCUGACAAGCACGACCAUUCCUUUGCAAACCUGUACUGGAUUGAAUGCUGAAUCCGGCUUCUUGUUCCUCGGCCCACAAUAGUGAUCCUCAACAUCGUUAUCUGUCACUGCAUUUCCAGAGGACAUUGUUCCGCUACUAUCUGGUGCUCUGGGUUCUGGCCAAAAGGACUCUUCCAAUUCUUCAUAUACAACCGGCCCAUUUUGGAUAGCAGAUAUAAUCUUCUCCCAGUAUUCGAGCAAAGGCUUGCACCUCUUAAAAUAGGAUUCUCCACCAAACACCAACCCCCUCUUCCAGAAGGCAAUAUGCUGUCUAAUCCCGGCCACUAUACUUUCCUGGUCUUUGAGUCCAUCUGGGUGCAUCGGCCGUGGGGAACCCUGAGGAAUCAUAGGUUCCCCAGUUAUGGGAUCUCUCUUGAAGAGUUCAAUGCCAUCCACUGGGAGCCACACUGUGUCCCAUUCUCUCAUCUUGUACCUCAUCACUGGAGCACCGUCACGCAUGCUGAAAUGAAACUGAAAAGGCUUGGAGUGGCCAAUCAGCGUUUCGGAUCCGUCCCUGAUGUAGCCUCUUACAAACCCCUUAAAGUCUGGAACCUCUGUCACAAGUGCAGCUUCAACAGUGCCUUUGAUGCAAUUUUGGAAUUCAUCGUAGAGUUGUGGGAGGGUGAGGACAUUGGAUCGCCGGAGGGACUCUGCCAGGUGACUGAACAUGGCAUCGACGUCUUCAUGAGUGUGCCCAACCAUGAGAAAGCCAAGUGUAACCGUUUCAAAUAUGCCUUUGGCAACAAGCAUCGCCAAGUACGCGAAGACGUACAUAUUUUUGUUCUCACUGCCAGCAUUGUCUGUUUGGAGCAGAAGAUGGGGUGGAAGGCCACAUCGGCCGCAAGAACUUCCUUGAGAUUCUGCUUCGUUUGGAUGAGGCUGUGCCAGCCUCAUUGGAAUGGCAUGAGGCCUCACGUGAUAACCCUACAAUCUGACGGCCAACAUAUUCACUGGGAUGGCAUGGGGCCCCAUGCGAUACUGCAAGCCUUUGCUCCUCCUCCAGCUGAACCCUGUAUGGGGUUCGAUCGACAAGGGCCUUAUGCAAGGGUUGGCCGUUCAGCUCAGUUUGCGCACUUUGCAGAGACCUUAAGUGUUUUGCUAGGGACGCAAUCAUCAUGUUUGCACCCCCGCCACCCCAUAGAGGUACAAAGAAGUUCCCAUAGUUCUGGGCACCAUGCCCAUGAGCGAUUAUGCCAAACAGAGACACAGGCAGCUGCAUGGAUGAAGAGAUUGCCUUGGGGGCAGGAUUGAGUCGAGGUAAGCACGUCUUUUUCUGGUCCAUUUUGUCGUGGAUGAUGCAGAGGUAAGAGUCAGGUCUCUCCAUGGAGAGAAUCCUGUUAUGAUAAUAUGCAGUCCUACAGCUUCUUUGCUCGAUGUUGUGGUUGAGCCGCCUUCUAACCAACGUCUCUCGCUCUUGAGCACUGCAAGAAUUCUUCGACAAAGCCAUUUUGAUAGCAGUGCACUCGUCACACUUUGAAAAGCUGGAGUACUUUCCUAUACUCACAUCCCUGAACCUGUUGCUCCACAAUCUACUAAAUCUAGAUUGGCUCAGCUUCCUGUAGCCAUUACUCUGGAGUUCCCGAUUCACAUCUUCCAAUAUGGCCCCCUUGGUAUACAUGGAAGGGAGAACUCGUUGGGUGUCUCGUGUUCCAUCUUCCAAGAGGCGGGUUUUAUGUGGUUGCUGCUUGCUACAUGUCUCAACAAACCUCUUGAAGAUUGCCUCUCCAUAUACAACAUGACCCCUAGUUUUGUGCGUAUCGUCAUUCCCAUGGACUGCCUGUUGAACCCUUUGUUCCUCGAACUUAGUUUUGAUUCUGUAGAAUGUGCUUCGAGGGACUCCAUAAAUGAUUCUCCAUGCCUUCAUGCAGACCAAACCCCUCUGGAAGACCAUGCCCCCCACCUGAUGUUCUGAAGCAUCAACAGAUGACUGUAAUGCCUCAUACACAAAAUUGCGAGCUGCCUUCCAGGACAAUGUCUUGUAUCUUGCUCUCUCCUCUUCAAUAGCAUCCCAAUCAGCAUGUUGACAGCACCUCCUCUUGCAACAAGCAACUGUCGAGACCAUUCGAACCUCCAUCGCCAUUUUCUGCCUUUUCGGUUCGUUGCUCAGAUCCCUUUGGCUGCGCUGUAGGAAGGUGUACUUUCUUUUCCCAUGAAGAGAUGUUCUGUCAUCAGUUGUAGUGGUGUUUGAUUGUGAAUCCUUUACAUUCUCAAACACUAAAUGCCUCAAUUUCCACCGCACAAUGCUUCCAAUAGUUAGACUGUUUUCUUCUGUGUCAACAACCUCUAAAAUCGCAACUCCAAUAUCAUCCCAGCCCAAUUCUUGAUUAGCAACCGCAUCUCUUGGAUCGACAACUGUGGCUAAGCCCUCAACUACCACCUCCCCCUCGGGGUUGUUUAGAAACACCUUUGCCUGAAUCCAUGUAGCACGGUUCUUAAGAUCCACGGAGGGAACAUGCGUCGCACUUGCGCUGUCCCCAACAUCUGCUUUCUUCUGCAGAUUUUUCAAGGCAACAACAACAUUUACCCCGACGACCAUCUCUCCUCGUUCAAUAGCGACCACAUUCCCAUCGAAGACAGUCUCUACUGAUACAGCAGCAUUGCCUUCCCCAAGCCUUUGACAGUGUAUAACAAAGUUCUGAUCCAUAGACACAAGGGUCCCUUUUGCAACUCUCUUCCCACCAUUCAAAAUGUAAACUUUUUCCCCAACCCUGAAGGCCAUUCUGAAAGUGCAGAAAAGAAGUUAAGACCAUACAAAAAAUGAUUGGAGAAUGGCCUAAAUCAUAACAUACCAAAUAGCAUGAGGCCACAUGCCAUUAUUCAAACAUGUUAUUGACACCCACGUGAAAUUUCGCAUUCACAAAAUUGGCAUGAGCCCUCAUGCCAUUAGUGGUACCACUAAUGGCAUGAGGCCUCAUGCUAUUUACUAGUCACACACACAAAAAUAUAUACAGUUGCAGCAAGGCAAAAGGAAUAUGGCAAUAGGCUAGCAGGGGCCAAAGAUGGCAUGAGGCCUCAUGCCAUCUUGAUAUACACACAGCUGCAGGCAAGUAAAAACAUACAUGACAAUACGCUAGCCAUGAAAUUGCAAGGGCCCAAGAUGGCAUGUGGCCUCAUGCCAUUUCUAAAUGUGGUCCUAAGCCAUUCCAUGGUGAACAUACCAGGAAGCACAAGUGCCGAAUAUCAAGAGGAAGCGGUAGCCACACCAAAGACAGUGCCGCUCGCAACACCGCAACUACUCGUAGCGCCGCUCGCAACACCGCAACUGCUCGUAGCGCCGCUUGCACAAACUGCCACUCGCAUAAACUGCCACUCGCAAUGGCGCUCGCAAUGCCGCAACCGCUUGUAGACGCAUAAACCACAGCUCACAACGCCGCUUACACAAGCAGCGCUCACUGCGCUCAGCGGAACCAAGAACACCGCGCACAAAAAUGAUAGACCUAGGAAUGAGUUCGAGAAUUCAAAAAUAACACACGUUUGAAUGUCACAUCAAAUCCUCUGACAAACCAGAUCUUAUGAUUCCUCUGACAAAUUUCAAACUGAGUAGCUUCUAGACUUUGCUGUCGGAGGUUGAACUUUGUCACAUCAUGUCCUUGCCUCGAUCCAGCUGUGCCAUGUCAGUGAUUCGAACUUUGCCAUGCCGUGUCAGCGAUCCGCGCCAAGAUUAUUCGCCGUGUAAAGGAAUAAUUAUGCUGUGUGUGUACGUCCAUUUAUGGCAAUAUAAGGCCACACGCCAUUCAAAGAAUAAUGCUAGUCGAGCAUUUUUUGGUGCAUUUUUGGGUUCAAAAUUGCAUGAGCCCACACGCUAUAAAGUUUACCUGUACCAAAAAUAGAAACAGCUUUAUUUACUUGCGAAUUUAAGUGGUUGAGGCAUUUUUAAACUUACAAACACAUGCCCUACUUACAUUCCUUUGGUUGCUUAAAAUUCAAAAAUAUAUAAACCUUUCUUUUUGCAUUUUCAAUGUUUUCAAUUAUGGUUUUUGAUUUUCGCAAGACCAGCCUAGUAAUCUAUUUGCAUCCCGUCAUGUUUAUAGCUAGCUUUCGUUUGUCCCCUUCGCUAGCCUGAGAUACAUCUGCUCGGCAUCUGCCUCUUAUAGCAUUUGCCCAGAAAGGGCAUCUUUCUUCACGCAGCAUUUGCCACAUGUUUAGGGUUUAGGGUUUAGUGUUUAGCAAUUCAGUAGCUUGAUAAACAUGCAAAUACAGAACUUGAUGCAAAAUCCUUCGAUAUGUUACAAUGCCCCUAGGACUAUAAACACAUUUCAAUAGAGAGGGUCCUUUCAUUUUAUAACUCCUUACGUAGAUCUUGGUGAAACCAGAGUUAGUGAAGUUGGUUUCUUGUGAUCCCGCAUCUGAUUGUGAUGUCCCUUUGCAGUGUCGAUGGAAAGGUCAAUGCACACCAAACUGUAAAAUCUUGGAGCAAAAUAACAGUCAGAUCUAUGGCAAAUGCCCCUGAAACAUUGUAAGGCUUGUGUGGUCUCAUGUGGUGUCCGAUCGAGAUGCUUCUUUGCAGGGUCAUCAAGAAGGACAUUGUAUACCAUUCUGUAAAAUCUAGUUGCGAUCUAACGGUUGGAUCUCCAGGAAACUCAAAACAAUCUCGCGCGUGUCAGAAUAUUCUAGGAAUAUACUCCUAUGUGCUCCUGAAAAUGGCAUGCGGCCCCACGCCAUUCAAGAGAUAACGCCAAAUGAUGCCGAGCAUUUUUUGGUGCAUGUUUUGGGAUCAAAAUUGCAUAAGCCCACACGCUUGAACAUCACAUCAAAUCCUCUGACAAUUUAUUUAGCUGAACAUCUGGCAUUUUUGGAAAUACAAGAUGCUUUGGAAUAUCCAAUCAUGCAUAGUAUAAAUAUAGCAAGGGUAUUAAAUGAUAUCCCAAUCAUGAUCUUUCUUUUGGAUUUCACGUGCAUGCAGUCCGAGGAAUGAUGACGUUGCGGAUUGCUUUUGGAUUUCACGUAUACGCGUGGCGAUCCAGAAAUUAAUGGUGGCGCCCAAGUUCGAGGAAUGAUGACGUGGUGGGAUUACCAACCAUCGUGACAUUUCGCGCGUGUGAGGUUAGGUUUUGCAUUUUCCUUCGUACUCGCGCUCGCAUCGCGCUCCCACUCGCGCUCCCACUUCUCUAUAGGUUUCUCGUGUGCAUCGGCGUCCACUUGCGCUUGCAUCACACUCGCGCUCGCAUCGCGCUCGUGUGCAUCGGCGUCCACUUCAAGACACACCCAGUUUGUAACUUCGCCGCCAACUCCGCCGCCCACUCCACGCAGCCCACUUGGCGUCCCGGGAGAUUUCAGCGCCACUCUCCAACUGUAAGUGGUAGAGUAGCCUUGCUGCUACGAUUUGCUGCACACACAGUGCACAUUCGUCAGCGAGUCCGGUUGUCACGCCUCCAUUCGGCUUCAAAUGGUAAGUCUUUUAGGCCAAGUAGAAAAUGGCAUGAGGCCACAUGCCAUUCAGUAGCAACAUUGGCAUGCACCGAUUGGGCUCUCGAGUGCAGUCCGGUUACAGAUGGCGUGUAGCCUCACGCCAUCUUAGGAUGCAGCCUCAAGACAUCUGAUGCAGUGGUGAAUGGCGUGUGGCCUCACGUUAUUUCCAGUUGUUAGCUUUUCAUCUGUCAGCUCUAAUUGUUGUGCAUUUCUGAACAGGCGAGGAAUUGCGUUCUUCUUCUAGCCACUGUCAAUGUGGAUGCAGAGAAGGGGGAGGAGCUCACCAGUUGGACUUUUGGGAUGGAAGGCGAGGAUCUGAGGCUGUACAACACAGAUGGUGGGAGAAAAGAAUGCAUGGGGAUCCUCAUCCAAGUGACAGACACUCCAUGCAAUUCCAUGCAAGAAUAUGGACUGGCACUUGUGGUAGAGACAGCGUCUGCCUUCAAGAUCCACCUUGCACAUCCUAGCGGCUUCCCGGAGGGGGGCAGCGGCUAUGAGGAAUUCCUAGAGGGAGCUAGGGAGAGGUUGUCCAGGAGGCCCACAAUUUCAAAGACGCUGCAGGUCUAUGAAGAUCACAUGGAAUCCAUGGACUUCACCUACGGCGAUGUUCAAAAACUAUAUUCCAACAUUGAGCCGUUGAGAGUGAAUCCAGUUCGCGAAGCGAAGGGGAAGGGGGUCGAUCUGGAAACUACCCCGAAGCAGAAAAGGGUGGUCAAGCUCAAGCCGAUGUCCGACUCUCCUCCAAAAAAGAAGCUACUCGGUGAUGCCAUUGCCUCGGGUUUGAACACUACACCCACCAAAAAGAAGAGCCGCAAAGAGCAGAAAGAGCAAGAAGAGGCAGCAAAAAUUGUCGCAGAUAAUAGUACUUAUUACUAUUCGAACAAAGUAUAUACAAUCGACGUGAGCCGUAUUGACAUCCAAAGCAAAUACAACCACAGGCUAGUAUCUGAUGAGUGGGUGGAGAAACUGAAGCAGAAGAUGCUGGCAAGUCCAGUAACACCCGACAUCGCAAACGUGAUCCCCUACUACCGAACAAUGAAGGGUGAGACGAGGUUUCCAGACUUGAUCAAUAGGAAGGUGUUGGACGAUCAGAACAUCCGGUUCUAUGCCGUCUCCGGGCAGCAUUCUAGCUUGGCGAUGCAAGAGAUAGUUGUGGAUAUUAUGGUGGGCGAGGAGGUGAAGAAAGUCUUCAAGACAAGAGUUGUCCGCCUGAUAAAAGGCAACUUGCCCCUCCGAUCUAUCAUAUACAUCUCCCACGCGCAGAAUGUCAAGCAAGAAACGUGCUACAAAUCGGGUUUGCACGAGACAUUGGCACGAACACGGAAGCUCUAGGUUCAACUGAAGAAGCCACAAAAACCAGGACAAGGACGUGCACUAGCAACUAGCGCCUGGCAGGUAAGCCUCGUUGUAUGUGGCAUAGCAUGUGGCCUCACGCCAUUUCCAUUGCAGGAAUUCUCAAGUCUUCUCUCGAAAACACUGGGGGUCAAUGACACACUCAGCAUCCAUAACAUUCUACUUGCGACAAAAGUUGUUUUUGACAAAUGGGUAGAUGUGCUGAGGAGGUACCAUGAUGGGGAGUUGCCAAACUCAAUGGGUGUGGAGGACGGCCGGAAGCCCAAUGAUUUGAAGCUCAACGCUUUGCGUUUCUCGCGGUCUCUAGACGACGACGACCUUCUGACAGUGGCUAAUGCUCUUCUACGUGGUGAGGUAGUCUUCAACAAGACCAAAAUGACUCCCGGCCAUAUUGUGACAUACGAGGACUUGUGCACGACUCUGAGAGCUCGUGCGCUAUUGAAGGAUUGGAUCUUCAAGCAAGUGGCCGUGGAGAGGGUGAGCAUCGACACCACGCAAGAGAUGAUGGAAGCGCUGGAUUUGUCAGUGCCUGAGGAACUGAAGACGGCUAUGGAGCUUUUGAAUCCAAAGAAAGCUCCAGGUGCAGCAUGGGAAAUGCUCAGCUGGGUCUUCAACGCAAUAGCGGGUGGGUCACCUGCUUCCGACUCCAAGGGCAAAUGCGUUGUCGAGUACAACUGCGGCGGACUAUUCUUUCGAGCCGCACUACUCAAGGGUGUCCCGUGUGUUGCGGUGACAAACUCCAUUGAAGAGGUGACUUCAAUGGAGCAUAUAAUUACAGUUGCCAAAGAAAAACAGUAUCUUCUCUGCGAACCUGGUGAGUACGCACUUUAAGUUUAAAUGUUAUCUCACAAGCUCUGUAUGCAGGAGCGUGGCCACCCCUAGAUGCUGAAACGGCGUUAACAGCUACUGUUGAAGAUACCCAUGUUGGGCUGAGCUCACAACCUGCACAAGGUAAGGUCACGUGAGGCCUCACGCCAUUUUGAUUAUAGAUCGUUGUGAAUAUUCAGACAUGAGGACUGAAAAGCGCACUGGUGGCACGUCGAAGAAGGACAAACAGACAAACAAUAGGAAAAAAGGAGGUACAAAUUAUAUUUGCAAUGGCGUGUGGUCUCAUGCCAUUCCUUGCAGGAGACACUUCUUCAAAGGCAAAACAGGAAAGCACCAGCCAAGCUCAAACUGACAGUGGUCAUAAAAAGCGAAAGCACGUUGGACAGUCGUCGGGAUCAGAGGCAUUUGAUUCGAAAAGGAAGAAGGGCAACGAAAAGAUGAUAGGUAAUGCCUCGCGGUUAUGGCGCGUGUGCUCAUGCCAUUCAUUGCAGAUCAAGGGCUGAGUGAAAGCAGGCAGUCACCACCUCCUGACUCAGAUUCCUAUGGCGGACUCCCCUUCCCCAAUCUCAAUGGAGAGGUACAAUGGAUGAGGGAUGCUUUUCAAGUCAGGGCCACGUUUUUCUCAUCUCGUCGUCUUCGAAGGGUGCAAGAACGUGCAGAAACCAUGUUAAGACAGUCGGGUGAGGAUACGGUCCUAGGUCACGCACUAAAACAGGCUAUGGAUGUCUUGUAUUUUGAGAUGGAGACUCGGCCAGAUGAUUUUCCCAAGAUGGUCCUGGAAGAACAAGCCAUCCAGCCUGAGCAGCCUAUGGAAGAAAUGCAGGAGGGGGAUGAGGAGCCAGAGAAAGAUAAUGAGCAGGAAGAGCAAAAGGACGAAGAGGAGGACAAAGAAGAGGAGGACGAAGAAGAGGAGGAUGAAGAGGACUUGGAUGGUCCUCACAAUGGUGACGAUGUAGCGCACGUGGUUUUGACCCUUUAUCCUAUGGUGAUUUACCAUAGGAUAACACCACGAAGCGGAACCUAAACCCUCUUUGUGCCACGUGACAGAUGCCACGUGUCACAUGCCACGUGUCCAUGCCACGUGUCCAUAGGAACCCGAGGUUCAGGGCCUUGGGCCACUGAACGAAGGAACGGUGCCAAACUCCCAAGCAUGACGCCAAGGAGUGAUGGAACCGGACCACGGAGCAACUACCGAGCAUAUAGCCCAAGGAGCGAAGGGACAGGAGCCCGGAGCGACUUGGAACAGUCCUGGAGCAACCAGCAUACCAAUGCCAGGACCAGCACGCAAAACGGAGCCAAACGGAGUCUGGCGCUAUUUCGGCAUACCGGUGGCCUAACGUGAGGAUAUGGGUACUCCACCAGCUAGCAUGGAAUGGAACUUGGGCUUAGACCCAAGCCGGACGCAGAACAAGGACAGGCACGCAAGCGGGAGCUAGACUAUGCCUCAGGUUGGUCGGCCAUGCCCGACCUACCCACUAUCCCUACUAUACAUUUGGAACCCCCCAUAGCCCCCCCCCCCUUGAGGAACACACGCUUUGGGCUUUCACCCCAAGCCUCCCUUAGUAUCAGGAGUUAGUUUCUGGGACAAGCUCGAAACUUACUAAAUAUGGAAUGUCCCUAGAUUGCGAAUUUGGACACGGGACGAACACCAUUGUGUUCAGGCAGAUCUCUACAUUCCGUAGAUAUGCCAAAUGAGCAACACGGUAAGCUAUCAUGUAGCGAUAUUGAGGGACUAAUCUCAAUACGCGAGGGUUCUUGUCACUAGCAAGUGCAAGACAAAACGAGAUGGGAACUCCUUACCGGGCUAAGUAUGCUUAGCUAAUAACACGUAGGAAUUCCGUCCUUAUGCUCGUCCGGUCUAAGUACACUCGAAAUGCCCAGUUAACUCCACUAGCACAAGAGGGACUGAUAAAGGGUCCAGCAAUACCGACCUCCUGCCAUCGUGGCAGUAAGGUAAGAGUGUCCGUAAGGACUAGCCGACAGGUAACUUUCGAUACCUGAAGUCACAUUCGCGACAGACGAUCACAAUAACGACGACGACGAUGAUGACGACGAUGGCCAGCCUGAGGUGGCUAAAGAGCAGCGGAGGAAGGUCAUACAAGACAAACCAUCAGGUAAAUAAUAGUACAUCCAUUCCUAACCUUUUACCAUUUCUAACAUUGUCCAUGUAGGUCGUAGAGCAAAUGGUAAGUAGAGAUUAUUCAGUUGAAUUAAGAUACAAAUUCUAGCCUUUAGUGUCGAGGAAGGAUAGUGCCAAGCAAGGGUCGAAACGUAUGUCCAAUCCUUCAGAAUCAACAGUGCGCCCAAGUGAUAUCGGUCCUAGUUCCUCAAUAGCAGUUGAUGGUAAAUACAGUAUAGUCGAUUCAAUGUGCUAAUGAGUUUGUUUUUAGUAGCACGGGAGGAUACCAUCUCAAUCGAAGGGAGAUAUUUGGACAUGCAUAUGGAUCCGCCAGUGGACUCUACUUGCCUGCAAGAGUCAUCAGAGCUGGUGGAGGCUACUAUCCAUAUCAACGCCAAGCAAGCUGACCACGCUCCACUUGAUGCUGCCCAUACCACUGAGUCAAUCUUGUCCACGUAUCCAACUGAUGGUGACCAGGCGCCAUUGGACCCGCAUGAGGCCGCCCUAGCCGCCGAGCCGGUCGUAUCCUCAUUUCCAACGGACUCAACAUGUGCCCAAUCGUCUGACUACGCGCCGUUGGAACCUCCCUACACCGCCCCUGCUGCCUGUUCGGUCAUGUCCACUUUGCCAACGGAGGCACCAGCUGAAAUGGCGUGUGAUCACACGCCAUCGGAACCACCCCAUGCCACUGUUGAGCCAGUUGUACUAGAGUCUACAGCUAAAAUGGCAUGUGCCCACACGCCAUCGGAUGCGAUUGACCCCACAUUGCAGAGGAGAGUAUUUCCGCCCUUCACGUUUCCUCGACCAAAACCCUCUCAACGACCAUCGGGAGCACCAUUUGCUAAUAUUGUAGAUGGUAAAAUUGACUUGUACCAUUUUUUAUGCUGAUGCAUUUCAUUUCAGAGUCACGGCGAAGGUACUGUAUCAUUUUUGAUCUGAACAGUGUCCUUUUCUCCCAUGAGCAUGGCUCGUCCUCGAAUGUCAUUGCACCCUCCAAAGCCUGCGGUCGCAAGUUGGUCAAAAGAGACAGAUUCACAUUAAUCACACGGGAGAAACUGCGGGAUCUAAUAAUGACCAUGCGACACUUAAAACAGAGGGCCGGGUUCAAUUUGCAAUUGGGAGUUUGGACAUCCAUGAUGCGCCACAAUGCAUUAACGUUGCUACAGAUGAUGCACGAUCAGACGCGAGUAAUAUUACCAUUUGACUUUCUCCUAAUGCAGGAGGAUUGCUUGACUAUGGUCCAUGUGAGGGGUAGCAAGCCCAUCUUCGUCAAGCCAGAGGCUGUAGUGAUGAACCGGACUGCUAGCUCAAGUGAAAUCCUCAUCAUCGAUGACUCGCCGAUUAAAACUGCAGCGAACACGCACACAUAUGCAGUGCACCCCAUCUCUUGCAGUAUGGAAACUAGGGAGAAGAAACCGUAUGUUCUGGGGGACCUUGCAAAACGGCUUGGAGCGAUGGUGAUAGUGAACCGGCCAGUCCAGGAGGUGGUUGCAGAAAUCAACCAAAUGGCAGAUGGAACGGUAUAUCAGAAGCCAUUUGAUCAGACAAACACCAGUCAUCAUUUAUGGCAUGUAUAUUGUCUAGCCAAGCACUAUCCGCAUCUCCAUAAUCUGCUCAACCGGAUGGGUUCUUCGACCACUGAACAUGAGCGUGGACGUAUUAGAGAAGAGAUGGCAUUACUAUUGGGUUUAAAUCCUGAUUGGAGAGUGAUGAAAUUCCAAGAUUAUUGUAUAGGCGUUGGAGGCAAAAAAUAACAGUCUGAGAUGGCAUGUAUUUAUUUAAAAAUGUAACUUAUUAUGGCAUGGGGUUCCAUGCCAUUGUAUUAAUAUUAAAAGACAAUUCUUUGAGAGGAUUUGCAUUAUACUAGAAGUGUUACAGCAUGUUAUUGGAAGUCUACGAAGUUGUUUUAUUAAUAAGGGGAAAGUAAAGAUUGAAUGGGGACUUGGGCUCCACCUAGACUUGGAGCAACUGAGCCAAUAUUAAAAGGAUGGAAAGAAAUUGGACGAUGAUGACAAGGAGAAGAGAGAGGUGAAGCAGUGGCAGGGGGAGGAGAAGUGAUUGAGUAGACAUUUCCUUGUUUAAAAUAAAAUGGCAUGUGCCUCAAUGCAGUUGAAUUUUGUUAUAUUUAUAUACUAUAUAAAGGUUUGGAAACCUUAUUUUACAAGUGGGAUAAUGACAAUUCCCACUUUAACGAAAUAAAGCUACUAAGCUGAAUUUCAACUUGGUGCGAUACUGUUCCAGGAGAGUCCUCCAGAACCUACUGGUGAAGAUCUUAUCUCGAUCUGAGAUGAUCUCUUUCGGUCUUCCCCGCACUCGAACCACUUGUUCGAAGAACAGCUUUGCCACACCUUCCGCAUCCACCUCUGUUGUGGUGGGUAUGAAGUGUGCCAUUUUCGAAAAUCGGUCCACCACCACGAAUAUCGCAUCAAACCCCUCGCUUGGGGGGAGUCCCGUGAUGAAGUCCAUCGUAAGACAUUUCCACGGACGAUCUGGAAUUGGGAUGCUUUGCAACAAGCCCCCACUAGCCUUAGUCACGGCUUUUACCUGCUGACAUGUUGGACAUGUCUUUACAUAGUCUUGGACGUCCUUAGCCAUAUCUGGCCAAUGGUACUUCCUUUUGAGUAAGCCCAUCGUCUUGGGCACUCCACCGUGUCCCGCAAGAGGUCCGUCAUGACACUCUUCUAAGGCCACCUUCCUUAGUUCCCCUUUUGGAAUAUACACCCUCGUUUGCUUGUAAUAAAUGAGUCCGUUGUGUUCCGCAUAGCCCGUUUUCUCUUCCGUUGGCAGCUCACCUCUCUGGUGAGCUUCCCGCGCCUCUAGAUUCCUCAGCAACACUUCUUGUGCUAGACCAUCAUUCUCAUAUGCUGUCCGCACAUCGUCCCAGAAGGUUGCUGUUGCGCUGGAUAUUGCCAACCUCAAGCUCACUUUUUGACUUAGCGCAUCCGCCACGAUGUUGCUCUUCCCAGGCUUGUACAGAAUUUCGCAAUCAAACUCGGCCAAGGCAUUGGCCCACCGACCUUGUUUCCCUCUUAGGUCGGGCUGUGACAAGAAGUGUUUUGUUGCCACAUUGUCCGUGUAAACCUUGAAGUGUCUCCCAAGGUAGUGUCGCCAUUCCUUGAGCGCCUUGACCACCGCAAACAAUUCCUUCUCGUGGGCAGGCCACUUACGUUGAGCCUUGUCCAGCUUCUUCGAGAAGAACGCUACCGGAUGGUUGUCUUGCUUCAAAACUGCGCCCAACGCAAAGUCCAAAGCAUCCGUUUCUACCUCAAAGUCCUUACAAAAGUCUGGUAAUGCCAAUACGGGAGCCUUCCUCAACUUCCCUUUGAGGUGGACGAAUGCCGCCUCGCAUUCCGCUGUCCACACCAUCUUCCCUUUUCCUGUUUGGUCCGUUAAGGGCAGGGCUAUUCUCGAAUAGUGUCUGAUAAACUUUCGAUAGUAGUUGCAUAGCCCUAGGAAUGCCCUCAACUCGUGUACAUUGGAUGGUCGCUCCCAUUCUUGGAUCGCUUGGACCUUCUCUGGGUCCACCUUGAGCCCGUCCUGGCCCACCACAUGCCCGAGAAACUUUACCUCUUGUUGAGCAAAGUCACAUUUGCUCUCUUUAGCAUAUAGCUUGUGUUCCCUUAGUUUCUCAAACACUUUCGCCAAGUGUUCGGCAUGCUCCUCUAGCGUCUCGCUAUAGAUCAGGAUGUCGUCGAUAUAGACGACCACGAAGUGAUCCAGAUAGGGUACAAAGAUGUGGUUCAUUAGCGCUGAAAAUGUUGCCGGCGCAUUACAUAGCCCGAAGGGCAUCACCAGAAACUCAAAGCUCCCAUACCUCGUUCGACAGGUUGUCUUCUCGACAUCUUCCUCGGCUACCCUGAUCUAGUAGUAUCCUGACCUUAGGUCAAUCCUCGAGAAGUAUUUUGCCUUUCCCAACCUAUCGAACAGGUCCUCAAUCCUUGGCAAAGGGUACUUGUUCUUCUUUGUAUACUUGUUGAGCAACCGGUAGUCUAUGCACAUGCGCAUAGAUCCAUCUUUCUUUUUCACAAAUAACACCGGCGCCCCAUACGGUGACUUGCUCAACCUAACAUACCCUUUGUCCACCAACUCCUCUAGUUGGCACUUGAGCUCCUUGAGUUCUUUUUCGUUCAAACGAUAAGGGGGACGAACCACUGCCUCAGCACCCUCGACCAGCUCAAUCUUAUGUUCUAUUAGUUGUGCUAGGGGUAGCCCCGCCAGUAGCUCCUCCAGCAUGGUAUCCUGGAAUUGGUUCAACACCCGCUGGAUCACUAAAGGUAUUUCUUCCAUUCCUGUCUUUUUGUCACUCUUCACCGAGAGUAAGCACAAAAAGGCCGCCUUAGUUCCUUUAGUGAGUUGUCCUCUCGUGGACACCAAGUUUAAGUAGGAAUCUUUGGCCUUGCUUUGCCCUACCUUUAGAUCUUGGGCCUCCACCCUAGAUUUUCUUCCUUGGGCAUUCGCCAGUACCACAAGGUUUCUACCUUGUCCAUGCAGGGCUACCACGAAUCGAUUGAACCAGUCCAUUCCGAAGAUCACGUCAAAUCCCGCCAUGUCCAACACGGUGAAAUCUAUGUCCACCUUCCAAGUCCCCACUUCGACUCUCGCUUGUCGAAGUACCUCAUCGGUGCUUUGGCUACCUUGAACAAACUCUAUAGUCCUUGGUUCGCCUAGCCGCUGCACCGUUAGUCCGGCUUGCCGGACUAUGUCUGCAGCCACAAAAUUAUCCAAAGCACCCGUGUCAAUAAGGAUCUUAACAAAGCUACCUUCGAGCUUCCCUCGGAGGGCUAGUAGAUGUCGCGAACGACUCUCUACCAAAGUUGCUCGUGUAAUGAGUAACUUUGAGUUAGGGACUGGAUCACAUACCUCAGUUUGGACUUCACCCAACUUGAUGGCCAUAUUGGCUCUGGCCUUCUUCGGGUAGGGACAUUCCCUCGAGAAGUGUCCCGCUUCACCGCAGUUGUAGCAUAUGUUGUUUCCCACGCUGCUAUACGACUUGACCUUUUUAUCCGUGGGUUUGUCUCUUUUCGCUUGACUCCCCCAUGUACUCGCUCACUGGCCACCGGAUCUGCCUUUCCGGAACCCCGAGGACUCAUUCUUAGAGAAACUCUUCUUGAAUUUCCCUCUGCUAAACGUUCCCCUUAGUUUGGCCCCUUUGCUAAAUGUGGAUCCCGACCCCGUCGUGUUCCCCUUUCGCAGGUUAUCGUUGAAAUGCACCUUGAUGGCCGCAUCCAACGCUUCCUUGUAGUUGGUCGGGUUCCACCGCAUCACUUCGCCGCGAGCCCAGGUUUGCAAACCUGAUAUGAAGGCAUGGAACGCAUCCAUAUCCCCCAUGUCCGUGACAAGUAUUCUCUUUGCCAUAAACCCAUUCACAUACUCCUGAAUGGUUCCGGUCUGCUUCAGCCUACUCAGCUCGUCCCUUAGAUGCAGAGUAGCAUUUGGAGGAACGUAAGUUGUGCGGAUCCUCGCCUUCAUCAUUUCCCAAGUGGCCACCGGUCCUUCGUUGGCCUCUGUCGUUCUCCACCAAGACUUGGCAUUAUCUGCCAAGUAUGGUUUUGCACAUGGGACCUUCUCCGAGCUCGGUAAUCGCAACGCUCGGAAGUAGUCCUCCAUAUCGUAAAACCAAUCCUCCACCACCUUAUAGUCGUUCACUCCCUUGAAGACUGGUGGGGGCUUUGGUUUGUACUUGGGAACUGCCUGAGGGACUGAUUCCACUUCGGUCUGUUCGACCUUGUCUAGUUUUGCCUCAGUCCCUGCCGAAGGGUCCGCACCUUCUGCGCUGCCAGCAUCUGCAGUCUUUUGCUUUUUCUUCUGCUUCUCGUCACGCUUUAGCUUGCGUACGAGAGUGUAAGCAACCAAAGAGAAUGACUUGAGAGACGGUCCAUGGGGUUCAAAUAUAGAGGGAAAGGGCCCAUGAAUAAGAGUGCACCCCCUUUUCCAAUUGGUUAAGGGUCUUGAAAUAUUUGGGUUAAGCGUCCUUGGGUUUGAAUAGUACUGGGCUGGGUGACCUCCCGGGAAGUCCAAACUCAAGAGCUUACAUUUGGUAUCAGAGACAGUCUCGGGUCCGACUCUGUUGGUUGGCUAGGGGAAUCACACCACAUGUUGAUUGACAUCUGGCUGGUCUAGUUUGCUCCCGCUGGGCUCGACCCGAGGGGUAGGGUGUCAAGAGAGCGGGGCUCUCGGGAGAGCUGCGGCUCUCAGCUUCCGUUCACGAGGGUGUGAACUUGCAGGGAAGCGUGGUGGAUUGUAAGCAACCAAAGAGAACGACUUGAGAGACGGUCCAUGGGGUUCAAAUAUAGAGGGAAAGGGCCCAUGAAUAAGAGUGCACCCCCUUUUCCAAUUGGUUAAGGGUCUUGGGAUAUUUGGGUUAAGCGUCCUUGGGUUUGAAUAGUACUGGGCUGGGUGACCUCCCGGGAAGUCCAAACUCAAGAGCUUACAGAGAGUCUCUAGCAGGGCAUUGGUCUGUGCCAAUUGUCCUUCUAGAACAUCCAAUCGAGCCUUGGAUGACCGAACCUCACCACCAGACUCCUGUUUGGAAGUUGCCUCACUAGAGUCCUCCUCAUGCAAGGAUUCCUCAUCCAUAGCCUCCUGUUCGACCGGAGGCUCCAGCUCUGGAGGAGGUUCCGUCUCUGCUUGGGUUCGCUUACGUCCUGCCCUUGCCAUCUCCCAGCAAUCCGCCUCUAUCCUUCGCUAGAACUGAGGAAGAGGCUCCGAUACCAAAUUGUAAGCCACAAAAUUUUCCUUUCCAAUUUGCUAGCUUACCUCGUCUAUCCGACCACCUCUGCCUUGGCUUGUGCUAAGUUCCCUCGCCAAGGUUCCCGCCUAUGGUACCAGCUCCUACUUGGUCCUACUUGGUUUCAGCUACUUACUGCACGAGCAACGGAGUGUUAGCCAUCCAUCUACGGAUUCCCAAAUCUCUCCCAAUCCCCCUCCCCGGGUUAGACUGGACUUAAGGUCCGGCUACACUCCCCGCAGGCACAAGCAGCCAAGCACACCAAGCCUCCAGAUUCCUAACACCCCUUGGUACCACAAGACUUGAUCAUGGGACCCUCUAAAUCCCAAGUCUUGGGUGCAGCACUUGCUUCGGGACGUCGGGCGAAACACCGUGGCCUAACGGCCCGGUAUGGGUACCUCUACCCCCCCACUUCCAUCCUGAAGGGAAGGCCCAAGCCCCUAGGAAGGGCAAGGACCAAUGAGCCACAAGGUACUCAAGUGGGGCACCACUCCACAUGAGCCGGGAGCACCGCAGUCGGUUUCCCUUUCAGGAGUGGGAGCUGCUCUUGAGCACUUCCCUGGGUGCCCCUCCGGCACCACUCAAGUCCAUACUCACUCCCACCCAAGGCCCCUCGGCCCCAGUCUCAACCUAAAGUCAGUUGGGAAGCACCACUGGAGAGUUCCUUCAAGAUUGGUUCCUGGACCUCACUAUCCCUACUAUACUUUUGGAACCCCCUGCAGCCCCCCCCCCCCCCCCCCCCGGGAGACACACGCUUUGGGCUUUCACCCCUUGACCCGUAUUAGUAUUUGGACUUAGUCUCUGGCUCGAUCUCGGACCCGAUUUCAGAUCCGACUUCGGAUUCGGUCUCGGACUCGAUCUCGGACCCGAUCUCGAACCCGACCUCGGACUCGACCUCGGACUCGGUCUUGGACCCGAUUUCGGAUCUCGGACUCCGUCUCGAACUCGGACUAGAACUCAGUCCCCGAGUCGGUCUCGGACUCGAUUCCGGACUCUAUCUCGAACUCGGUCCUAGAGUCGGUCUUGGACUCGAUCCUCGACUUGGUCCCAUCCGAUGAACUCUUUGUCAUUUCGGUCAAGCUUUUGGGGAUCCUUUAGCCUACGACAUCUCGGGGAGUCAGUUCCUUACAUAGCUCUCAUACAAUAAGGUUCCAUCUUGGCCAUUUGGGACAAUGGCUGCUACUUUGGCUUGCCAAUACCAGCAAGAGAGGAGGUAAGCACUCAGGAUUGCUAGCAGCAUUUUCUGCUGACCUCUUUUGCUGGUAGUUGCUAUUGGCAGCAGCCACCACAUAGCAUGAUCUCUUGGCUAAAUUUUAUUAGAUUACUCCCCAUUGGCAAAAAGAUAGGAUGGAUCUCAUGAUCACGAUUGUGAGCAACAUGAUACCUCCUCUUUUGGUGGCUGCUGCUUUGGCUUGCUAAUGGCUACCAGACUAGCAAGAGCGAUCAUAAACAAAUCAUGAGCAACAUGAUACCUCCUCUCUUGCUGGUAGCUGCUAGGAGUUGCUAUUGGUGAGCAGCAGCCAACACAACAUGAUAGAGGCCUCUGUAAAUUCUUUGCUCAUUUCUUGGUAUAGAUCACUCCCUAUUGAGAUUCCUCUUCUCCUCUAGAGAAGAGGAAUCUCAAAAGGAAUCUCAAUGGGGAGUAUGAUCUAUUCUAGGAGAUCUUCUCUUGGGUCUUGGGGUAGGAAUUGGUUUGUGGGCUCUUUUCCCAUUUCCAGUUUGAACGAAUGAAGUGAUUCUCUCCUGUAUCAAUCCAUUGAGACUUAGAAAGGAUUUGGCUCAAGAAUCAUAGAGUGGGCAUUUAGUAGAAACACAUUUCUAUCUCUCUUGGUUCCAUUCCAUUAUGUAGCUUGAUGCGAAUGCUUGAUUUAAUGAAAAACACAGGAGGAGCAUACGAUGAAACACGUGUAAAGGAAAAGUACUGGGCUUGUAGUGAUACACUAGUUCUUGAUUUAUAUACACAUUCUAGUUUCUUUGAAUGUGCCUUGAUCUCUCUUUGGUUCCAAGACUCCCACUUGAUUUGAUGUCUUUUAAUCAGAUUGUUGCUUCCUUGUGAGACUAGUUUGAGUUGUUGUCAUAGUCAUUCAAACUGUUGGACUUCAAUUGUACUGUAAAUCUGAAGUCAUCUUUGUUAUGGGGAUGUAUUUCAGCUUGACUUCUUCUCUCUUGAUCUGCUCCUUGAUAAAGUAAUGAAACAUUUCAAAGUGUUUAUUUAAACCAAAUCUUGGUUCUCCCUCUAGAUCCAUUAUAUUAAAUAUUCCUUCAGGAUAUUCUUGCCCCACUUGUCAGCCACAAGAAUCAAAUUGGGCUUUGAUACCAAUGUUAAAAUCCUAUCCCUUACACCCUAAGCCAAUUGGCUAAAGGGGUGAUCACUUGAUUGUAAAGCCCUUUCUUUAUCCUAUUAUCCUGAUAUAGUGCCUAGCACAUGAUGCAUUGGAUUCAUGAUCAAUUGAAAACAUGUUGUGUUGUCAUUGUAGACAUUCAGUGGUACUUGCAUCUCAAAACUGACAAGCGUCAAAUCUAAAUGCUUUUUUAAUAGCUUUCAUAACAGCAUUAUACUCUACUUCACAAGUAGACAAUGCUACCAUCCUUUGUUUCUAGCUGCGCCAUGACACAACCUUAUUAGAGAAUUUGAACAUGUACCUAAUUGUUGAUCUCCUAUCAUCCAAAUCAUUGACAAGAUCACAAUCUACCAUUCCAUAUAGUAUAAGUGCACCCAAUCCAAUUUCUCCUCCUACCAUCCCCUUGUACUUGUGAUAAAGCAAUUAAGUUUGUAAUACAUAGUUAAAAAUCCACUUUAUUGCAUACUAAUAUCUCUUUUUAGGAUUUUACAUGAACUAGCACACUCUAGAAACAGCUGCAGCUAUAUCUAGUCUGCUUGAUGUGACUAAAUACAUCAACACUCCAACCAUGUUUUGAUAUGGUAGUUUAGCCAUUGUAAGCAACUAAAUUUUCCAUUCUAUUUUAGUCAUUUAACCACACUUUUGACCACUUGGAGGAGUCUCACUCACAACCUCCAUAAGUCCUAUUUUGGACUUGGGCUUGCUAGCCCCGAGAAUGGCAUCUCCGCCACUCAACCUUUGCACUUGGUCCAAGUGCUCCACGUGUCCGAUCCCAUGACCGACAGCCCAAGGUACCAUUGACGCAUCAGCCCAUUACACUAAGGCCAUGCCCAUUCACCUUGGUCACACCGGUGGUUUGACCCCACCUACACUACAGUCCCGUCUCUCAAAGACUGGGCCAUCUGUCCAUGAGUGAUCAUCCCAGAUCCACUCCUUAGCAUCCUUAGGAUGCCCAUAGACAUGGGGAAUAGCCUUCCCCAAUAUCCCCUUUCUGGUCCCCACCAAAUCCCUUUCUACCCAUGGCCGUGUUCGCUAACACUGCUACUGGAUCAAGGCCCUCAAGCCCGACCACUAAGUCCCACGGUCCUCUGGGACUUCCUCACCACACGACUAUAUCCUUGGUCACUACACCAGAGGACUACUCCUCUUCCUUUCCACAUUCUAGGCCUUCGGGACAACAUUUCGGAACACCGUGGCCUUACACAAGCCUCGUGGGUACUCUCCCCGCCUUCCACCUUUGGGUGCUCUAGCCAUGGGCUUAGAGCGAGGUUCUGUUGAGCCACGCCUGGUAUCCAAGUAGGUAGUGCCACCCACACUUGGACUGGGAGCAUUGGCUAGUCGAUCUCUCGGGGGAACUAGAGCUGGCUCUUGAACACUUCACCAAGUUACCCUGCUUGUCGGUCCAUGUUCACUUUAGUCUUGGACUUCCUAGUGGGCAGCUCAUCACCCAACACUGGGUACAGCCUUCUUGGGCCAAACUGGCCUUUCCUGGCCAAACUAGCUCCACUACAGUCCUCCCCCUUACUAUACUUUUGGAGCUCACCAAACCCCCUAGGGUCUGGGAGACGAACGCUUUGGGCUUUCACCUCUCAGACUUGAACUCGGACUCGGACUCGGGCUCGGGCUCAGACUCAGACUCGGACUCGGACUCGGACUCGGACUCGGACUCAGACUCGGGCUCGGGCUCGAUCUCGGCCUCGGCCUUGGUCUCGAUCUCGGUCCCGGUCUCGGUCUCGGUCUUGAUUUCGACUUCGGACUCCAUCUCAGGUCCAUCUUGGACUCCAUCUCGGACUCCAUCUCGGGUCCAUCUCAGACUCCAUCUCGGACUCCAUCUCGGGUCCAUCUCGAACUCCAUCUCGAGUCCGUCUCGGACUCAAUCUUGGAUCCAUCUCAGGUCCACCUCGGACUCCACCUUAGACUCCAUCUUGGACUCCAUCUCGGACUCCAUCACGGACUCCAUCACGGACUCCAUCUUAGACACUUCCACAUGUCAUGUGUUGGUCCUUUUGGGUCCCUUUUUAGAGCCUCGCUUAUUGCUCGCUUCGUGCUCAUUCCUCGAGCACUUUGUUGGGAGUUCCACUCCCACUCUCGACCUUUCAAGUCGGAGCUUUUAGUCCAAAUGUGUUACGCUUGUUUGGCUUUUGCUUCAGCCACUACCACGUGGUGCCCUUCCGGCUCCACUUUGGGGCCUAGGGAUUUUGUGUCUCACAACUCCACCACCCAUAGACGAAGUUCGAUGUCCUCAUCAAACGGUAAACCCCUUUUGUAAAGUAAUAUUCGCAUGUAUUACCAUUUCCAUCUUUGGCACCUAGCCAAUAUUUGUCUAUGGUUUGACACCAAAGGCUCACCAUGCCUUAUCCAUCUUCUAAGGAGUAUAGUCUCUCCAACAUAGAGACUCACUCGACCACCUGGGGUGGUUUGCUUCUUUUUAUUGGUUCAAUUCUCGCUAAACCUGUUAGAGACACCCUUUCUAACUCAAUUCCACUAUGUAAGGAACCAACUCCCCGAGAUGUCGUAGGCUAAAGGAUCCCCAAAAGCUUGACCGAAAUGACAAAGAGUUCAUCAGAUGGGACCAAGUCGAGGAUCGAGUCCAAGACCGACUCUAGGACUGAGUUCGAGAUAGAGUUCGGAAUCAAGUCUGAGACCGACUCGGGGACCGAGUUUGAGUCCGAGUUCGAGACCGAGUUCGAGACGGAGUCCGAGAUCCGAAAUCGGGUCCGAGACCGAGUUCGAGGUCGAGUCCGAGGUCAGGUCCGAGAUCAGGUCCGAGAUCGAGUUCGAAAUCGAGUCCGAGACCGAAUCCGAAGUCGGAUCCGAAAUCGGGUCCGAGAUCGAGCCCAAAGCGUGCGUCUCCCAGGGGGGGGGGGCUGCAGGGGGUUCCAAAAGUAUAGUAGGGAUAGUGAGGUCCAGGAACCAGUUUUGAAGGGACUCUCCAGUUGGGCUUCCAAACCGACUUGAGGUUGAGACUGGGACCGAGGGGCCUUGGGUGGGAGUGAGCAUGGACUUGGCUAGUGCCGGAGGGGCCAUCCAAGGAAGUGCUCAAGAGCAGCUCCCACUCCUGAAAGGGAAACCGACUGUGGUGCUCCCGGCUCAGGUGGAGUGGUGCCCCACUUGAAUACCUUGUGGCUCAUUGGUCCUCGCCCUUCCGGGGGCUUGAGCCUUCCCUUCGGGAUGGAAGAGGGGGGGUAGAGGUACCCAUACCGGGCCGUUAGGCCACGGUGUUUCGCCCCGACGUCCCAAAGCAAGUGCUGCACCUAAGGCUUGGGAUUUAGAGGGUCCCAUGAUCAAGUCUUGUGGUACCAAGGGGUGUUAGGAAUCUGGAGGCUUGGUGUGCUUGGCUGCUUGUGCCUGCGGGGAGUGUAGCCGAACCUUAAGUCCAGUCUAACCCGGGGAGGGGGAUUGGGAGAGAUUUGGGAAUCUGUAGAUGGAUGGCUAACACUCCGUUGCUCGUGCAGUAAGCAGCUGAAACCAAGUAGGACCAAGUAGGAGCUGGUACCAUAGGCGAGAACCUUGGCGAGGGAACUUAGCACAAGCCAAGGCAGAGUUGGUCGGAUAGGCGAGGUAAGCUGGCAAAUUGGAAAGGAAAAAUUUGUGGCUUACAAUUUGGUAUCGGAGCCUCUUCCUCACUUCUAGCGAAGGAUAGAGGCGGAUUGCUGAGAGAGGGCAAGGGCAGGACGUAAGCGAACCCAGGCAGAGACGGAACCUCCUCCAGAGCUGGAGCCUCCGGUCGAACAGGAGGCGAUGGAUGAGGAAUCCUUGCAUGAGGAGGACUCCAGUGACGCAACUUCCAAACAGGAGUCUAGUGGUGAGGUUCGGUCAUCCAAGGCUCGAUUGGAUGUUCUAGAAGGACAAUUGGCACAGACCAAUGCCCUGCUAGAGACUCUCGUACGCAAGCUAAAGCGUGAUGAGAAGCGGAAGAAAAAGCGAAAGACUACGGAUGCUGGCAGUGCAGAAGGUGCGGACCCUUUGGCAGGGACUGAGGCAAAACCAAACAAGGUCGAACAGACCGAAGUGGAAUCAGUCCCUCAGGCAGUUCCCAAGUACAAACCAAAGCCCCCACCGGUCUUCAAGGGAGUGAACGACUAUAAGGUGGUGGAGGAUUGGUUUUACGAUAUGGAGGACUACUUCCGAGCGUUGCGAUUACCAAGCUCGGAGAAAGUCCCAUGUGCAAAACCAUACUUGGCAGGAUAAUGCCAAGUCUUGGUGGAGAACGACAGAGGCCAACGAAGGACCGGUGGCCACUUGGGAAAUGAUGAAGGCGAGGAUCCGCGCAACUUACGUUCCUCCAAAUGCUACUCUGCAUCUAAGGGACGAGCUGAGUAGGCUGAAGCAGACCGGAACCAUUCAGGAGUAUGUGAAUGGGUUUAUGGCAAAGAGAAUACUUGUCACGGACAUGGGGGAUAUGGAUGCGUUCCAUGCCUUCAUAUCAGGUUUGCAAACCUGGGCUCGCGGUGAAGUAAUGCGGUGGAACCCGACCAACUACAAAGAAGCGUUGGAUGCGGCCAUCAAGGUGCAUUUCAACGAUAACCUGCGAAAGGGGAACACGACGGGGUCGGGAUCCACGUUUAGCAAAGGGGCCAAACCAAGGGGAACGUUUAGCAGAGGGAAAUUCAAGACGAGUUUCUCUAAGAAUGAGUCCUCGGGGUUCCGGAAAGGCAGAUCCGGUGGCCAGCAAGCGAGUACGUGGGGGAGUCAAGCGAAAAGAGACAAACCCACGGAUAAGAAGGUCAAGUCGUAUAGCAGUGUGGGAAACAACGUAUGCUACAACUGCGGUGAAGCGGGACACUUCUCGAGGGAAUGUCCCUACCCGAAGAAGGCCAGAGCCAAUAUGGCCAUCAAGUCGGGUGAAGUCCAAACUGAGGUAUGUGAUCCAGUCCCUAACUCAAAGUUACUCAUUACACGAGCAACUUUGGUAGAGAGUCGUUUGCGACAUCUACUAGCCCUCCGAGGGAAGCUCGGAGGUAGCUUUGUUAAAAUCCUUAUUGACACGGGUGCUUCGGAUAAUUUUGUGGCUGCAGACAUAGUCCGGCAAGCCGGACUAACGGUGCAGCGGCUAGGCGAACCAAGGACUAUAGAGUUUGUUCAAGGUAGCCAAAGCACCGAUGAGGUACUUCGACAAGCGAGAGUCGAAGUGGGGACUUGGAAGGUGGACAUGGACUUCACCGUGUUGGACAUGGCGGGAUUUGACGUGAUCUUCGAAAUGGGCUGGUUCAAUCGAUUCGUGGUAGCCCUGCAUGGACAAGGUAGAAACCUUGUGGUACUGGCGAAUGCCCAAGGAAGAAGAUCUAGGGUGGAGGCCCAAGAUCUAAAGGUAGGGCAAAGCAAGGCCAAAGAUUCCUACUUAAACCUGGUGUCCACAAGAGGACAACUCACUAAAGGAACUAAGGCGGCCUUUUUGUGCUUACUCUCGGUGAAGAGUGACAAAAAGACAGGAAUGGAAGAAGUACCUUUAGUGAUCCAGUGGGUGUUGGACCAAUUCCAGGAUACCAUGCCGGAGGAGCUACCGGUGGGGCUACCCCCAGCACGACCGAUAGAACAUAAGAUUGAGCUGGUCGAGGGUGCUGAGGCAGUGGUUCGUCCCCCUUAUCGUUUGAACGAAAAAGAACUCAAGGAGCUCAAGUGCCAACUAGAGGAGUUGGUGGACAAAGGGUAUGUUAGGUUGAGCAAGUCGCCGUAUGGGGUGCCGGUGUUAUUUGUGAAAAAGAAAGAUGGAUCUAUGCGCAUGUGCAUAGACUACCGGUUGCUCAACAAGUAUACAAAGAAGAACAAGUACCCUUUGCCAAGGAUUGAGGACCUGUUCGAUAGGUUGGGAAAGGCAAAAUACUUCUCGAGGAUUAACCUAAGGUCAGGAUACUACCAGAUCAGAGUAGCCGAGGAAGAUGUCGAGAAGACAACCUGUCGAACGAGGUAUGGGAGCUUUGAGUUUCUGGUGAUGCCCUUCGGGCUAUAUAAUGCACCGGCAACGUUUUCGGUGCUAAUGAACCACAUCUUUGUACCCUAUCUGGAUCACUUCGUGGUCGUUUAUAUCGACGACAUCCUGAUCUAUAGUGAGAUGCUAGAGGAGCAUGCCGAACACUUGGCGAAGGUGUUUGAGAAACUAAGGGAACACAAGCUGUAUGCUAAAGAGAGCAAAUGUGACUUUGCUCAACAAGAGGUAAAGUUUCUCGGGCAUGUGGUGGGCCAGGACGGGCUCAAGGUGGACCCGGAGAAGGUCCAAGCGAUCCAGGAAUGGGAGCGACCAUCCAAUGUACACGAGUUGAGGGCAUUCCUGGGGCUAUGCAACUACUAUCGAAAGUUUAUCAGACACUAUUCGAGAGUAGCCCUGCCCUUAACGGACCAAACAGGAAAAGGGAAGAUGGUGUGGACAGCGGAAUGCGAGGCGGCAUUCAUCCACCUCAAAGGGAAGUUGAGGAAGGCUCCCGUAUUGGCAUUACCAGACUUUGGUAAGGACUUUGAGGUAGAAACGGAUGCUUCGGACUUUGCGUUGGGCGCAGUUUUGAAGCAAGACUACCAUCCGGUAGCGUUCUUCUCGAAGAAGCUGGACAAGGCUCAACAGAAGUGGCCUGCCCACGAGAAGGAAUUGUUUGCGGUGGUCAAGGCGCUCAAGGAGUGGCGACACUACCUUGGGAGACACUUCAAGGUUUACACGGACAAUGUGGCAAUGAAACACUUCUUGUCACAGCCCGACCUAAGAGGGAAACAAGGUCGGUGGGCCAAUGCCUUGGCCGAGUUUGAUUGCGAAAUUCUGUACAAGCCUGGGAAGAGCAACAUCGUGGCGGAUGCGCUAAGUCGAAAAGCGAGCUUGAGGUUGGCAAUAUCCAGCGCAAUAGCAACCUUCUGGGACGAUGUGCGGACAGCAUAUGAGAACGAUGGUCUAGCACAGGAAGUGUUGCUGAGGAAUCUAGAGGCGCGGGAAGCUCACCAGAGAGGUGAGCUGCCAACGGAAGAGAAAACGGGCUAUGCGGAACACAACGGACUCAUUUAUUACAAGCAAACGAGGGUGUAUGUUCCAGAAGGGGAACUAAGGAAGGUGGCCUUAGAAGAGUGUCAUGACGGACCUCUUGCGGGACACGGUGGAGUGCCCAAGACGAUAGGCUUACUCAAAAGGAAGUACCAUUGGCCAGAUAUGGCUAAGGACGUCCAAGACUAUGUAAAGACAUGUCCAACAUGUCAGCAGGUAAAAGCCGUGACUAAGGCUAGUGGGGGCUUGUUGCAAAGCAUCCCAAUUCCAGAUCGCCCGUGGAAAUGUCUUACGAUGGACUUCAUCACGGGACUCCCCCCAAGCGAGGGGUUUGAUGCGAUAUUCGUGGUGGUGGACCGAUUUUCGAAAAUGGCACACUUCAUACCCACCACAACGGAGGUGGAUGCGGAAGGUGUGGCGAAGCUGUUCUUCGAGCAAGUGGUUCGAGUGCGGGGAAGACCAGAAGAUAUCAUCUCAGAUCGAGAUAAGAUCUUCACUAGUAGGUUCUGGAGGACUCUCCUAGAACAGUAUCGCACCAAGUUGAAAUUCAGCACAGCCUAUCACCCACAGACAGGUAUGGGGUAUUAAGUCAAGUUGUUGGCACUAACACUUCUUGACAGACGGACAAACGGAAAGGGUGAAUAGGCAGUUGGAGGAUUAUUUGCGAUGCUAUGUCUCGGGAAACCAGACCGAUUGGGUAAGUCAUUUGGGACUUGCGGAAAUGUGUUAUAACAACUCACCACAUUCGAGUAUCGAGGUGAGUCCAUGGGAAGUUAUCAAUGGGCGAGCUAUUGAAGGUCCUGUGGAACUCGGCGUGGCCGAGUAUCAUGGAGAGUUGCCCACAGUGGAGGCAUUCACGGUGGAAAGACUCAGCAUUAAUCACACAGGAGUUCGCGAUUAAUCUCCCCGACAAGAUCACCACAAUCUAUACGGGAGAUAUCACAAAGUGCUACGAGGCCAUCCCCCUCGAGGGAGAUCAAGGCCUCACGACAGCCAUGACAAACCUCGUCAAUUUGGCUUUCGCGCACCAAAACCACCUCCAUAAGGACCUUUUUCUGAUUCAAAAGAAGAACGGCGAGCUUGAGGCCGAAUGGAAACCUCUACGCCACUCAUCAGUGAAGGCCACCAGAAUGGAUCCAACAAAAGUCAUCGAGCUAAAUCACUUCAUUAUCCGGAACACAUACGUCCGGCUGGGUGACAGAGUAUGGAGACAAGUCCGAGGGAUUCCUAUGGGCUUCUCGUGCUUGCCUCUGUGGUGUAACCUGUACCUAUUCUAUUUCGAGUAUAACUUUAUCACUCGACUCGCUCGUCUAGGCCGGUAUGAUCUGCUGCGCUUAUUCGAACAUACAUUCCGAUACAUGGACGAUCUGGCGUCAAUGAAUAACCCCAUGAUCCUCCGAUUCCUUGACCCCGAUCAAGUCGAAUCCGAAGGAAAUCCAUUCUGGAUAUAUCCAUUACGUUUCCUGGCCAUGCAGAACGAGAUGGAUAAUCCAUUCGUGAACACGGACGGCUCGCUCGUGAAUCUGUCUGCUCACUUCUUGAGCCUUCAGAUUCAGAUCAUACGAGUUGAUGGUACCUUCUUAACCACAAAAUAUGACAAGCGCCGAUCACUUCCAUUCAAAGUCUCGCUGUACAUUCAUCGAGAUUCAAACCGGCCCGUUGCAAACUCAUCCAAGGUGAUCCUGGGGCAAGUCUUUGCGCUUUUCUAUCUGAUUAAUACCGCCGGUGGUGUCGUCCUUGAGAUUGAUAAUCUCGUUGAAUGCUUCGUGGAAAAAGGAUUCCAUCGCUAUGCAUUGAGACGACUCAUCCUCAGUGGUCUGGAUCGUAUCAUUCUCACCAGCCCCCUGACACCGGUACAAGCAGUCUUGGAAAUUCUCUUUGACAUCUGGAGAGAACCAGCCAAUAGGCCACCACAGCUCGACGACUCAGCAAUUUCAAGCUGAGCACCAGGAACUCUGUCCUCUAGACAGGACGAUCCAUCAAUUUAGCAUCAUAUCGAAACAUAAUAGAUUCGAUAUUUAUGCCGUUUUGGAUUGUGAACAACAAAAGAAUUAGUUCCCCCAAACUUACCAUGCAGUCCUUGGUUACGCGCUGAACUAAAAAACGCAAGCGCACCUUUGACUACAACUGUGUUUUGAUUGAUAAAAAUUAAAAAACAACACAAGUUGCUGUUCUCUCACUCUGAGACAGAUCCCACGCCUUAACCACAGCAAGGUCUUCCUUAAAAACAAAUUUUUAAAGGAAACCUUACUUACAGAAAACUCUGUUUUCCCAUGAAUAAACUAAUGGGACACAUGAGUAGACGUGGCAUGGUAAAAAACAAAACCUUGGAUUCCUCACAGAAUCUCGCGCGAAGAAACACGCCGUACGGAUUGGCAAACCUAAUUACAAGCUAUAGCUAUUCGACUUCAUGGCUGCGGGCGCUGGAUUUUCUCACACCGAAAGGUAUGAAGCGACGGGAAAAACCCUAAUGUUAGGGUUUCUCGCUUGCAUCCGCCGCCGCCGCAUUCUCCAGGAGCGCAUCCACAAGCAGAGCAAUCUUGGGCCGCUGCAAGGCUGUGUGCUAGCACAACCACGCACACUUCUCGCCCACUCCAGGAUCAACAGCCGCUUCAUUGCGCACCGCAAGAAUGAGCAGCGCCAACGAAGUGCUUGUUUGGGGAUAGCUCAAAACGAGCUUACACCCACCACUAAGGUCGCGAGGAAUCUCACUACCGCAUUCCUGGCCACGCAAAAACAGGUACAAACGAUUCGUUUUGCUGCUUUUUUUUUACCCUUGGCCUGUAGGAAUCUCUCUCGGCCAGAGCGCUGGAACUAAACACCACAGCGACACAAGGGGUUCUUACUGACUCUGCCCAGGUAGUGCUUGUACUCUCGACUGUUCCAGCUUCUAAUCAUCCGCUUAGAAAAAAGACGGGAUGACAGCGACUGGUCCAGACGGCGAGAUCCAUGAGUCAACGGAUAGCGAUCAGGUUGAGCAUGUUCCUUAGCUCUAAUCUUUGGAAGUCACUUCUGAUGUGCAGCCGGACAUGUACCUGAGUACAUUGGCUCGUGAGCAUCAGUCGCGCAAAUCUCAGUUCAGUUUUGAGACCUAGCUUUGUACUUUCACAAAAUGAGAGAUAGAGCUAGCGGAGAUUGCAUUACUAAUCCUCGUCUUCCAUGAUACAGGUACCCCCCGGACACCCAAACCGUAGGAGGUGACAUAGGAAUUGUCUAGGGAAAUCGUUAUGGUCGUGGUCGGUACCGGGUUACCGGGCGGAUGAUCCUAUGCCUCGGACGAAUGUACCGAAAACGACCUAGUCGAUCUGCUUAACCAAAAAUACCCACGAGGGACAGCUGUGCCAGGGUGUGAUACCUGGCUGCCGAUACAAAAUGCCAUGCGAUCCAUCCCUACUUUCCCGCCGUACCGGAUAUGGACUGAUGCGUGGCUUUCCAGGAUUUCUGGCUACCCGAGAUGACGGAGUACGCGAACACUGAUGAUUUUGUGGCUCCCGUCCCGGCAGUGCAGUACUUCUUACUGCUGUUAGCCGCAAAGAAACCUGAGCGCUUACGUGAGAUUUUUGCAUAUGAGAAAAACAUUGCGGACAAGCUGCUCACGGUGCCGGAAUCCGAGGCAGUUGGCGAGAACAAGCGAUACCUCUGCCUCUUCCAGCAGGUUGAAACCAAAGAAUGGUGGUGCCUAGUCUGGACACUCCUUACCGAUCGAGUCAAUGAUAACCAGGCUCUACUACGACAGUGGAUGGCGGACAUGGAAAAAGAACUCGUUAAUUUCUCCUCCGCCGAACCAAGGAUCACUUGGAAAAUGCUCCAAUGGUCCCAAGAAUACAACCGGGUUACAGGGUAUAAAGGCUCGUACGGGAAAGGUAUUGAUCUGGGAAAACCACAGAUCGACCUCAGCAAUGGUUUUGAGUUCCUGAGCCAGAGUGCACGGACGCUCAUGACUGGACUCAUCCCAUCACAGCCGGAUACUCUAGAAGGAGCAAACGUGGACCGCAUUGAUAAUGGUCGUAUCAUGUUUGACCCGUUGGAGAAUUUGAGUGGAUGGAAAUUUCCCUUCGCCACCACAAGAGUUCUCAAUGCAGCCUCCCACCGCCUUCCAGAACCGCAUAAGUUUUGGACGCUAACGAAUCCUUUAGGAUGGACAUCCCCCUUGGAGGCAUCCGACUGGAUCCAGAUGGUGGCUUUGUUACGACCGGAUGCAGUACAGUGGUCAAAACAGACACUGGAAGCAUCUUACCGACAUGCAACGUUGGGAAACUAUGCUUACAAACCAGCAAUCCCGUUCCAAAAGACCGCGGAUGAGGUUUUCAAGCAGGCUGCUUUCCAUGGACGCUGUGAUGGCGAUGCCUUUUUGAAUACAAAAAGCUGGAACCUAUCACAAGGAGAUCAACAUACAUGGAAUCAGCUUCGACCGUACUGUCGCUGCGAUUGCCAGGGAUGUGAAGGAGGAAUUGUCUGGCUUGACUCCUUGUUCUGGUACAUGCUUAACAACCUGGACAAGUACUGGCCAGAUUCAAGCUUGACGUCGUCAGACCGCCUCGCCAUCUUCCUGUCCCUACUUACGGCUAAUCCGCAAGUGAUCCUCCAGAUAGCUGCCUUCCUUCAAAUUCGAGAAUGGAUGCAAGCAGCGGCUAUUGAGGUGGCGAAAAAACCAGCCAACCCGGAUCUGGAGUUCAUCCCGCAUGGGCAGACCAAGAUGAAUAUAUGCAAGUUCAUCCCCGUCCAACAGUACCGAUCCCCAACGACUUCACGAUGUGAUGGUAGCGAAAGCAAUGGAGCUUUCUCACCCACACCGUCCUCACAACGCACGCUGGCGAGGUCUCGAGGCUUACCACCUAAUCGGAAACGUGAUCGUCCCGAUGGACAAACAUCCACGGGGCUGACAUCACAGGAGACGGGCACACCACCAUCAAUCUCCAAGACAUCCGAGGCCAAUGCAAGCUCAAACAAACAGAGGCUACGCAAAAGGCUCGGUGCAAGAAAGCAGCGAUAAAUAAAUUUCUGUUUUCUUCUUCCAUGAUUGGUAGCUAAUGAAAGUGCUCUCGUGAUUGCUUCCACAGUGUACUUUACACUACAUCCAUCAUUUGGCCGGACGUAAAUGGUUGGUCAAAGAGGGAACGGAGUGUGAACGAAAAUUCGUACACCUCCGAUAUAUUAGCGCCGGAUUCGAGAGGAUCAGUAUCCGCACCCUUAUGAGGGAAUGCCUGGAAAUGAUUGGCCUAGAUGCGGAACUCCUGGAUCCCAUCGUAUUUUGCUGGAGGUAUGAACCCCAGAUCAAACACGACUUUUAUAAACCCAAGGAGGUUUUCUGUAACUGGGACACUCAUGCACCACUGGUUUGCGAAUGCAAACGAUGGCCAUGGGUGGCUUACCUCGACGAGACUGGACAUGUGCGUACUUUGGAUCCAAAGAUCCUUGGCUCACGCAUACUCACGACUGUCAUCGAGAAAGGUCUCAAUCACAUCACCCCAAAACCACUCCAGACAGCAAAAAUCAUUGCUGAAGUCUGUGAAGCCUGGGAUCGGAUUGCCAGUAUGAUCCCCGAUGUCUACAUCCGUAACUGGCCUAGCAACGAAGCUGCUGUUAAACAGCAUAUCAAUUACCGGGUCCGAAUGGCAGUACAAAAUUGUCAGACCACCCUGAUGGUAGAUGUGAUGACCACCCCUGAGGCAAAGCGGCAAUUAGAGUGGGUACAUAAACACUUGUACAUCAGUGGCGCCGAUAAAGCGGCCAACACACCCACCUUCUUUUGCAAAACGUUGGCCCGGGAGCAAGCGCUUGCACGGAUGAAUAGUGACGACUUUUCACUAGUAGUCUCGGACAAUAAUGUCCCUGAGACGCCUGAGCAAGUUGUAAAACAACUGCUCGGUGAACCACCCUUACAGGAAUUCCCGCCGCAGAAACCAGAUCUCCCUUACCUUAUGGGAAUCUAUAAAGCGCACAAGAAUAAAAUGCACUGGUUAACGAAUGCGGAUGGAUGUGUCUUCUCUGAAAUCACAUUUUGCCUCACAGCUAUCCUGAAAGGAAUACAGGAGGCGCUACAAAACGUAGCCGAUGAUUUCUAUGCACGGGCAAAAUUCUUUGGAGGAAAAACGAACACGUGCUGGAUCCUUGGAUCCACACAGGAGUUCGCGAUUAAUCUCCCCGACAAGAUCACCACGAUCUAUACAAGAGAUAUCACAAAGUGCUACGAGGCCAUCCCCCUCGAGGGAGAUCAAGGCCUCACGACAGCUAUGACAAACCUCGUCAAUUUGGCUUUCGCGCACCAAAACCACCUCCAUAAGGACCUUUUUCUGAUUCAAAAGAAGAACGGUGAGCUUGAGGCCGAAUGGAAACCUCUACGCCACUCAUCAGUGAAGGCCACCAGAAUGGAUCCAACAAAAGUCAUCGAGCUAAAUCACUUCAUUAUCCGGAACACAUACGUCCGGCAUUUGGAAUCUAGAAUCAUGAGGGAUUCCUUGGAACGGGCUCAACAAAGGCAAACCAAAUACGCGAACCAGAAGCGUCGGGAUGUAGAGUUCCAAGCUGGGGAGAAGGUGUGGCUGAACACCAAGAACCUCAAACUACCAAGUGGGAUCAGCCGAAAGUUGACCCAAAGGUAAAGAUGCAUGUAUUCCUGUAAAUGAAUUGAUCUUGAGUUCCUUAAGCAGAUUCGCGGGGCCUUACGAGAUUGAGGCACGAAUCGGUAAAGUGGCUUACCGACUCCGACUUCCUCGAGAGAUGGGGAAGAUGCACCCAGUGUUCCACGUGAACUUACUCAAGCCGUACUUUGAGGAUCCGCUUCGGAAGGACCAAGUGAGACUUUUACCUGAGGUUAUCCAAGGGGAAGAGGAAUACGAAGUCGAGGCCAUCCUCAAUGCGCGCAAGAGCAAGCGACAAGGACACGAGGUGAGAGAGUUCCAUGUGAAGUGGAAAGGAUUUCCACACUGCGAAGCAACAUGGGAACCGGAGGAGAACCUAGCGAACGCGUGAGAUCUAGUAGAGGAAUUUCUGCAAGGCAGAACUCUAUGUACUUAUGCAAAAUUCAAUUAAAAAUAUCAAUUUGCAAAGUUGAGCAAGUGGCAUAUGUUGGGACCCGAAGGCACGCCAAAGGUAAGCUAAUUAGCAUGGGUUGGAUAGGUCGACCAGGCGUAGGGCACUACGCCCAACUCCCCGCGGGGAUGUUGAAUCCGUAGACGUAUUCUAUGGAGGUUGGGUUCGAGUCCCAACCCCCUAGUAAAGCAAGGCUGGGUUCAAGUCCUGACCCCAUACUAGGGCGUGGUGAGGUGAGGAGUAUAGGGACACCUAUAUUCCGUUGUCAUGGGCUCUUGGCCGGGGAGGCUAACUUAGGCACACCGCUAAGUGGGGGGAUGCCCCCGGAGACAUGGUCAACAAGUCGUAGGAUAAAACGAGACGUUCGAUGUGGGCAUCGAACUUCUUCUAUGGGUGGUGGAGUUGUAAGGAACCGACUCCCCGAGAUGUCGUAGGCUAAAGGAUCCCCAAAAGCUUGACCGAAAUGACAAAGAGUUCAUCGGAUGGGACCAAGUUGAGAAUCGAGUCCAAGACCGACUCUAGGACCGAGUUCGAGAUAGAGUCCGGAAUCGAGUCCGAGACCGACUCGGGGACCGAGUUCGAGUCCGAGUUCGAGACCGAGUUCGAGAUGGAGUCCGAAAUCCGAAAUCGGGUCUGAGACCGAGUCCGAGGUCGAGUCCGAGGUCGGGUCUGAGAUCGGGUCCGAGAUCGAGUCCGAAAUCGAGUCCGAGACCGAAUCCGAAGUCGGAUCCGAAAUCGGGUCCGAGAUCGAGCCAGAGACUAAGUCCAAAUACUAAUACGGGUCAAGGGGUGAAAGCCCAAAGCGUGCGUCUCCCAGGGGGGGGGGGCUGCAAUGGGUUCCAAAAGUAUAGUAGGGAUAGUGAGGUCCAGGAACCAGUUUUGAAGGGACUCUCCAGUUGGGCUUCCAAACCGACUUGAGGUUGAGACUGGGACCGAGGGGCCUUGGGUGGGAGUGAGCAUGGACUUGGCUGGUGCCGGAGGGGCCAUCCAAGGAAGUGCUCAAGAGCAGCUCCCACUCCCAAAAGGGAAACCGACUGCGGUGCUCCCGGCUCAGGUGGAGUGGUGCCCCACUUGAGUACCUUGUGGCUCAUUGGUCCUCGCCCUUCCGGGGGCUUGGGCCUUCCCUUCGGGAUGGAAGAGGGGGGGUAGAGGUACCCAUACCGGGCCGUUAGGCCAUGGUGUUUCGCCCCGACGUCCCGAAGCAAGUGCUGCACCCAAGGCUUGGGAUUUAGAGGGUCCCAUGAUCAAGUCUUGUGGUACCAAGGAGUGUUAGGAAUCUGGAGGCUUGGUGUGCUUGGCUGCUUGUGCCUGCGGGGAGUGUAGCCGAACCUUAAGUCCAGUCUAACUCGGGGAGGGGGAUUGGGAGAGAUUUGGGAAUCCGUAGAUGGAUGGCUAACACUCUGUUGCUCGUGCAGUAAGUAGCUGAAACCAAGUAGGACCAAGUAAGAGCUGGUACCAUAGGCGAGAACCUUGGCGAGGGAACUUAGCACAAGCCAAGGCAGAGUUGGUCGGAUAGGCGAGGUAAGCUGGCAAAUUGGAAAGGAAAAAUUUGUGGCUUACACACUACUCAUUCUCGAAUAGUCUCAAAUUCCAUCGACAUAACCUUUUCACUUUGGAACUUUUAAUUUUGACUUCUCAGAGUCAAUUUCCUAGGUGUCUUUGACACCUUACAUUGCACAUGGUGCAACUCCAGUUCCCCAUCCUAUGAAGUUUUUUACUUGAGGGCACCAUCAUCCUUUCUUCGAUAUCGUGCCACCUUUGGCACUAAGUUCCAGUUAUUAUAAUUUGUGCUAGGGCUGCCCACAGCCUUAUUAUUUGGCUACCUUACCGCUCCCCCUUUUGGAGUAUCCACUUUUGCCAAAUCAAAGCGGUUAGGAAUCCAUCCUUGGGGAAACAUUGCCUUUCCCACAAUCCGUUAGCACUCAACACAUUAAUGUUCUUGCUUAACUUUGCCAUUUGGAUUCUUUUCUAUAAUUCCCAUGGCUCUUUUCUUAGCCACUAGUCUUUUGCUCCUAUCCUUGAUUGUUGCACCCAGCAACAUAGGAUCACUACCUCCAUUUUCGAGGUUUCUUUUCGGUUCCAUAGCAACACUUUGCUUUGCCAAGUCCAAAGGGUGUUCACCCUUAGUACCCCUCUUUAAUAUUUUCUGUUGUGGGCUCUAUCCACGGCCCAACUUUUAAGACCCUCCCUUGGAUCUCUUGUAGAGACUACUUUCCUCAUACUUACUAUGCCAUCACAUUAACAUAGCUCAUUUCCCUUAGGUGUUCUUCCCACCUGAUCACCUUGACCAAGCUAUACCAUCAUCAAUAAUUCAAAUCAACACUUUUGAACUAGGAACUUUAUCCCUUAAACUCACAAGGACCUUGUCCUUAUUUUAGCCAUAAGACCACCUAAUGAUCUAACCUUGGCACCUUAACAGGUUUGCCAAUAGGUAUUAGGUCUUCCAGACCUUUAAGUUGUUGACCAUGACCCCGGGGGCAUCCCCCACACUUGGCGGUGCACUCAAGCCAGCCCUUCCGGCUAAGGGUCCAUAGCAACUGAGACUGGGUGUCCCCAUUUCAUUCACCACGUCCUUGGUGCCACUCGCACCAAAGUGUUCAAGUUAGAUAUGCCGAGCCACACUAAGCAAUCUAACUGUGCAUCACAACUCCGAGGCAUCCCUCGCUUGGUGGUGUGCCCAAACCAAUCUCCUCACUGAGAGUCCAUGACCACCGAAAAAUGAGUGUCCUCAUAUUCCAAACCAUCACCACACCCUAGUGAUUUGGGACUCGAACCCAAGCACUAGAGGGUCGGGACUCGAACCCAACCUCCGUAUAUGCAUCUAUGGAUGGCAUCACACAGGAUGCCUGGUGUGACUCCCCACGCCGGUGCACCAUCAUGUACUUAAAGCGUGUUAUAGAUCACAGCUUAGGAACCGAGUUCCUCUGCACUGUUAAAUCCUCUCACUUGACAAGUCUGUGAUCAUGCAUGGACUCCUCUAUGCUCGGCCCCAUGGGCUACCCCUUUUGAAGUUAGCACCUUUAAUUAGGGGAUUUGUUCCCCUGACUUGCCAAUCUCACUUAGCAAGUCAUCCGGCCACCAUAAUAUGGUUCAUGCAUAAGCGUGAAAGUCCUUAACCAUCGACUUUCAUUCAAAGCCCUCUUCUUUGAACACUCAAGAACUACUUCUCCAACCUUGAUAGCCUCACCUCAUGGCUAGCUUCAAGACCACGCUUCUGCUGCGCCACUCCGAUUUCGCGCACUCUAGGAACCAUUUACACUUGGCUUUCUAGAUACUUAUCUACCUAGAAUUGUCUUUAGGAACAUUCAAGGAACUCUGUUCCUUAGCUUGCCAAGGCUUCUCCUUCGCAAGCUCCCUACUCCCCAUAUGGUCUAACAUGGAUAAUUCCACAUUUUAGACUCUCUAUGGCAUCGUAGUUGCUAGUAGUAAUAUCCUUGAGCACCCUUUUGAUUCUCCACUCCCAACUUGCAUAACCACUGUUGGUUAUGCCCUUCAAUUUUUAUGGUUCAGUUCCAUCCCAAUACUACUUACCUUUUGGCCUUAUAUGUUUCCUUUGGUUAUUCUCCUCCAAACUAGGAGGAUAGCUUUGCACCUUCUACCAUGCCUUAGCAAGUAUUCAUAGGGAUGAACCUACCCAAUAGCUUAGGGAGUGGUUCCUCAAUCUGGGCAUGCUCACCUUAUAAUCCCACAUAUCGGGAUUAACGUUGCUACUUAUAGGCCUCUAUAUGCCUAUUACUAGCCUUGCCAAAAUCCCAUUUUUUGUUUUAUCCAAAUCAAGUAGACGGAUUUCUUCUGUCUCCAGAACCUUGGACGUUUGGAUAGCACCUUCUAUCCAUCAUUUGCUAGGGACUUAGUCUCUUGGGCAUUAUCUAAUGCCCUUGUGACUCCAAACACCACCUCUUGGGGUUCUAGAGUGUUUGGGUGUCCCAAUGAUGGCGUCCUUGACAAUGAGCAUUUCCUUUUAUUAUGACAUUGACUUACUAUAUUGCAACAUAAGCAACUUAUCCCCGAUAAGGGUAUAUUUAACUUUUUUAUGCUAUUAAAAAGUCUUGGGUAGCUAUCUUCUACCCGUUUAACCAAUUACCUGCAUCUCAUGCUUAGUUGCCUCAUAGUUGUCAAGUCCUACAACUCAUUGCUUAGUGCUUCCACACCUCCAUCAUUAUUUGGGUCACCACACUCCAACCACAUGCCUUCCUGUAUAAGCUAUGCCAUUCCCAUUUCCAUUGGGAUUCCCUUGGCAAGGGGUUCUCAUGAACCCAUCAACAUAACCUCAAGGCAUCACACCUUGGCCCAUUUGGUGUCUCCACACCAUCGGCUCCAUGCAUCUGCCUUUAUGAUACUUUGCAUUUGUGUCUAGGUCUUUGCCAAGACCAACCCAAUUGUUUCUUAUGCUAACUAUCCGUUAGCACUACACCAUAGUGUUCGCACACAACUCUGCACCAAAGUUGCUUUUUCUAGGAACACCUUUCCCAACACUUUAGCAUGGCACAUUCUGCCAUCAAUGAGAUACCCUCUAUUCUCAUCCUUGGAUCCUAUGAUCCCCCCCUAUCAUUUGUGGGGUACAACACACGUCAGUCCAAAUGCUUCCAUCAAUCCUUCAUGAUUAUUCCUUGACUCUAUUUGAGUCCUCCAGCUUUUUGGACUUUGUCAUCCGACGACCCAUGAGGUCCCACCUUUGAGGUGUCAGCUCACUGGAAUACAACUUCUUGUAUUCAAGUCCUACUCACAAGGACCAUCUUUGCAAGUGUUACUCCGACACUUGAUUUGUUCUCUUGGGGCAACCUUUUGCCCCUUAGGACCACUUGUCCAUAUGAUGAGAAUACCAACUCAUCCUCUAAGUACACCCCCAACUCCUUGGGUUGUUCCAACAUUUAUUAGAGGUAGCCCUGACUACCAUUUCAAAGACUUAUGUCCUCUUCCGUAUUUGACCUUCCACAGUCAUUAAUUCCGAUCUCAAAUUCAUGAGCACCAGCCUCAACUAUAUGAGGGUAAUCUUGUGACUCCAUUAUCGUCUUGGAGUUUGCAUCUUUCCCGUGAUCCCAACUAUAGUUGUUUACCAUAACUACAUUAGCCCGUUUGUCGCAUCAAAUGCUCAUCUGGAUCACAUCCUCAACUCUCUGAGAAAACCCUCAUACUAUUCCCAAGAUCCCAAAGUCAUUCCCUUACUGGCCCUUUUCCAUCCACCACAUCGUGCACAAGUUCACACAUGAAAUCGAGUGGAGAGCCAUGUCCUCUCGACAUGCUACUCCUCGAGGAUAGGUCCAUACCUAGGACUUUCCAAUUCCAAUACAAGUGGUGAUAUACUUGGCCACCAAUAAGAGUCGGACUAAGGAGCAGCUCUGAUACCAAAUUGUAAGCGACUAAAUUUUCCAUUCUACUUUAGUCACUUAACCACACCUUUGACCACUUGGAGGAGUCUCACUCACAACCUCCAUAAGUCCUAUUUUGGAUUGGGCUUGCUAGCCCAGAGAAUGGCAUCUUCACCACUCAACCUUUGCACUUGGUCCAAGUGCUUCAUGUAUCUUAUCCCAUGACCGACACCCCAAGGUACCACCGACGCAUCAGCCCGUUACGCUAAGGCCAUGCCCAUUCACCUUGGUCACACUGGUGGUUUAACCCCACCUACACCAUAGUCCCGUCUAAGACUGGGUCAUCUGUCCAUGAGUGAUCAUCCCAGAUCCACUCCUUAGCAUCCUUAGGAUGCCCAUAGACAUGGGGAAUAGCCUUCCCUAAUAUCCCCUUUCACGUCCCCACCAAGUCCCUUUCUGCCCAUGGCCGUGUUCGCCAACACUGCCACUAGAUCAAGGCCCACAGGCCUGACCACUAAAUCCCACGGUCCUCUGGGACUUCCUCACCACACGACUGUAUCCUUGGUCAUUACACCAGAGGACUACUCCUCUUCCUUUCCACAUUUUAGGCCUUCGGGACAACAUUUCGGAACACCAUGGCCUUACACAAGCCUCGUGGGUACUCUCCCUGCCUUCCACCUUUGGGUGCUCUAGCCAUGGGCUUAGAGUGAGGUUCCGUUGAGCCACGCCUGGUAUCCAAGUAGGUAGUGCCACCCACACUUAGACUGGGAGCAUCGGCUAGUCGAUCUCCCGGGGGAACUAGAGCCUGCUCUUGAACACUUCACCAAGCUACCCCGCUUGUCGGUCCAUGUUCACUUUAGUCUUGGACUUCCUAGUGGGCAGCUCAUCACCCAACACUGGGUACAGCCUUCCUGGGCCAAACUGGCCUUUCCUGGCCAAACUAGCUCCACUACAGUCCUCCCCCUUACUAUACUUUUGGAGUACACCAAACCCCCCAAGGUCUGGGAGACGAACACUUUGGGCUUUCACCCUCUCAGACUCGAACUCAGACUCAGACUCAGACUCGGGCUUGGGCUCGGUCUCGGCCUCGACCUUGGUCUCGAUCUCGGUCCCGGUCUCGGUCUCGGUCUCGAUUUCGACUUCGGACUCCAUCUCGGAUCCAUCUCAAACUCCAUCUCGGACUCCAUCUCGGGUCCAUCUCGAACUCCAUCUCGGACUCCAUCUCGGACUCAAUCUCGGAUCCAUCUCAGGUCCACCUUGGACUCCACCUCGGACUCCAUCUCGGACUCCAUCUUGGACUCCAUCUCGGGUCCAUCUCAAACUCCAUCUCGGGUCCGUCUCGGACUCAACCUUGGGUCCAUCUCGGGUCCAUCUCGGGUCCACCUUAGACUCCACCCUGGGGUCCUUCUCGGACUCCACUUCGGACUCCACUUUGGACUCCAACUCGGGUCCAUCUCGGACUCCAUCUCAAACUCCAUCUUGGUCCAUCUUGGACUCCAUCUCGGACACUUCCACGUGUCAUGUGUUGGUCCUUUUGGGUCCCUUUUUAGAGCCUCGCUUAUUGCUCGCUUCGUGCUCAUUCCUCGACCACUUUGUUGGGAGUUCCACUCCCGCUCUCGACCUUUCAAGUCGGAGCUUUUAGUCUAAACAUGUUACACUCGUUUGGCUUUCGCUUCAGCCACUACCACAUGGCACCCUUCCAGCUCCACUUUGGGGCCUAGGGAUUUUGUGUCUCACAGCCAUCUCCUUCUUCUCCCCCUUAGGACAUGGUUGAUGUACUUUGGAGAGCUUGUUGAAUUGGAGUGCUAGAGUCGAAGUUGGGUAUACAGUAAAGAAACCACUAUAUUCCUUGAUAAGACUUAAAAUAUACUGAUUUUUCCCAUCAUAUAUGCCCAAAUAAAAGGAAAUUUACCAUGUUUGGAGAGUUGUUCUUUAAACCAUUUAAGACUUGCUGUCCUUCAGGCCAUUAUGAGAUUGUCAACAUAAACACACACGACAAUAAGUGAGCCAUCAUGAAAACAAUAAUGUAGAUUCCAAUCUGCUUCUACAUGAGAAAAACUAUAGUUAGAAAAAACUUGUGCAAAGUAUUAUACCAAAUCCUUAGUGAUUGUUUUAAUCCAUAAAUGAGUUUAUAAACUUCCUUUAGAUUUGGAGGCUGUUGCUCAUACACCAGUUCCUCCAAUUGGCCAUUGAGAAAUGCAUUCCUGACAUCCAUUUGCUCAAUCUCAAGGUCUAAAUGAUUAGCAAUUGCAAGAAUAAACAAAUAGAAACCAUCUUAACUAUGGGUGAGAAAUUCUCACUAUAAUCAAUUCCAUGUGUAUCCUUUUGUGACUAACCAUACUUUAUACCAAUUAAUCUCACCUGUCUCCUUAUAUUUUAUUUUGUGAACCCACUUACAUUGUAUGAUUGAAACUUUGCAAGGAACCUCCUAUGAUGAAAUGAGUGUCCAAGAACCACUCUCCAAUUGAGCAUGAUAUUCAUCUUGCAUUGCUUCUCGCCAAUGAAAAUGUUGCAAUCCAAAGUGUGCUUCAUCUAAAUUUGUUGGCUCGUGAAUGACUUGUGUGGCUUGUGCAUAAUAAUGUAGAAUGUGGGAUGUAGGUUUCCAAGGUUUGAGAGAAUGUCUUGGUAGUGAACUAGCAUUUGGAGCAUCCAAAGAUUCACCAUUCUCUCACUCUAAUAAGCCACUUUCUCUAGAUCUUCAUGAAUAAUAUCCAAUCACUAGAAUUCUGAAGUGAAGUACCUUGUUUUUAGAGUUUAGAGCCAUUAUCAUCCAUAGCUAGAGAAAAAACUUCUUGAGGUAGUAGUGGAUCCUCAGGUGGUGGUUCAAGAGGUAGUGGUAGUGGUGGUUCCAUUGAAGAAGCCUCUGGAGUUGAUACCACUUCCUCAUCACUAUUAUUUCCAUGUGCAUUGAUUAGAAUUGAAUGUAAAAAAUACCUGGUGUCUUUCUUAUUACUAAUUGAUGAAAUAGAUUACACUGGUACAUCUUCUCGAAAGAAAAUAGUACACCUAACCAGCACCUUCUUUUGACUAAAAAUCCAAACCCAAGCCACCUCUAGUAUUCUCACUAUAGCCAAGCAUCAUGCAUCUCAUUGAGUGAUCUUCCCAUUUAUUUUGUCUUUCCUCAACUGAAAUGUAUGCUACACACUCAAACACACAUAAGUAUGUAGUAGAUGGUUUCGAACCUAUCUAAAUUUUGUAUAACAUUUUUAUCCAGUAUUGCUUUUGUAGGCAGAAUAUUUUGCACAUGAACUGUAAUAUUCACAACCUUGGCCCAAAAGAAUACUGAAACAUUUUGAUCUGGCUGCAUUAAGGACUAUUAACAUCUUUCGCUCCACGACCCCAUUUUGACCAUAUUCAUAUGGUGUAGAGAUUUGGAGGAAGAUACCACAUGAUGCAAGGAUUGUCCAGAAUUCUCAUGAGAGAAGUUCCCAUCCUCCAUCGACUCUGAGUGUGCGGAUUAUCAUUGCAUAUUUAUUUUCUAACUCUCAAAUCCAUUCCAGAAACUUAUGAGGCACCUCAAAUUUCUGUCAUAAGAAAUAUAAUGACUUAGAUCGUCCACAAUUAGUAGGAAAGAACAAACACCAUUGAGUGACUUUACUGGUGAUGCUCCCCAAAUGUCGACAUAAACUAAAUCAAAAACAUUUUACCUCAAGUAGACACUUUUUUUGAAGGUGGCUUUUUUUUCAUCUUAACUUGAAGAUAUACCUCACAUGUCAUACUGUCGCUAAUAUGCUUGUUUUUGCUCCAUUCACACCCCAUGACCACUCCCAAUACCUUCUUCUUAGAGAACUUGGCUUCCAUGAUGGAAAACCAUCGAAAUGCAUUAUCAUGAGAAAGAAGAAACUUCCCUUCUUCCUUUCCCCUCAGCCUGAGCCCUUACUGUCUAGUCUAUUCUUGCCUUGAAGGAGAAACAUUCAGAUCCAUAUUGGAAAAGCCAGAGCCCGAGAAAAGAGAAUCUUUUGAUUUCUCUGAUACUAUGAUGAAACAAGUGUAAAGGAAAAGUACUGGGCUUGUAUUGAUACUCCACUUCUUGAUUUAUAGUUCCUUUGAUUGCACCUUGAUCUCUCCUUGGUUCCAACAAUCCACUUAGUAGGCCCAGUGGGCGACAGUUCCAGAACCCCAGCCUGUAUCUGGUUACAGAUGCUCAACUUUUGGAACCAUGGUAUUGCUCAUGCUCUUGCUUUCGUUUUUCAUAGUGUACUUUUCCUUGCACAGGGUGACACCCUGCUCAAAAGAAUAGUGAGCAAUGGAAGCACAUAGGAGGUAAGGAGCGAUCCCGCUUUGCCCUAUAGUUGCUCACGUGAAAGUGUGACGUGAAAUUCACUGGCAAAAGUUUUCCUUUAGCAAGGACACCGGGAUUCCUUCCGGGAAAACCAGGCAAUGCCUUCCCUGCGAACAACACCUUUCGGAAUCCUCACCUCCGCGUUCCAACAACCUUCUCCUUUUCGUCCUUCAGAGUUUUUAGCAAGAUGCCGAACUUCGGUAUUUUCUGCAUGCUUAUUUUGUCUCAAAGCCGGAACUUAUUCUGAAACUCAGGUAUCCAAUCGCAGCACUCGUGAUUUGAACCCCAAAGUUAUUGAAUCUCCUCGUUGCUUCCAGUCAUCAGCUUGGAAUUUACCAGACAAUAGUUCCCUUAUCCAUCCCGCUGCAAAGCAGCUUGGACUGGAGAGCACCCUGGUCUCGCUGGCCUCAAUGGCCCAGCGAAUCAUUUCCAAAACGAAGCGGCUAAUCACCACCCUUCCAGUGAAGUCCCCAACUCCGACCUGGGCCGAUAGACGGGCACCAAGUUCCUCUCCUCGCCCCUCUCCGCUCACAGGCAAUUGUCAUCGGUGGCAAUGCUGGAGGGAGAAAACCCCCAAGAAAUGGUGGCAUGAUCUCAGUGAUCCCACAAUCUUGUAAACAAGGGGAUUGUUUUCCUCCGCUGCUAUUCUCACCCCUCACGCCCGGAUCUCGUUGAGCAUCUCUCGAGCGAAGGAAGGUGAAAAGGUUGCGAGGAUGGCGAUAUGGAGAGGACGAUCCUCAUCCAGAACUGGAUCAAGGAAUAUGCUAAUUUUAAAUUGAUUCAAUCUGUUAUAAUAAAUGUAAAUUGUUUUCCACGGGAUUAACGACCGAGCAAAAAUGAGCCUCAAGAAACAAUCCUGCUGUGGGAAAAACCAACCUCUUUUUUUUUUACUUUACGAGGAGGAUGCGUGCUUCGAAACCCAUUCCACCAAGGUCCCCACAGCGAAUCCAGUCGCCAUUUUCUUCUUCUCGUUCCACACGGGUCCGGCGAUGUCGAGAUGAGCCCAAGGAAUUUUCUCAUCGACAAACUAUCCAUCCAUCAAGAAUGGAAGAGAUUAGAAGUUCUUCCACAAGAACAAAACGAAAGAAGUACCUGUUUCAAGAAGAGCGACGCCGUUAUGGAUCCGCCAGGACGUCCACCCGUGUUCACCAUGUCCGCGAUUCCCGACUUCAUCAUCUCCCAGUAGUUUUCUUCCAUUGGCAUCCGCCAUAGCUUCUCUCCGGCGGCGCUUGACGCUUGGGACAGUUCCUCCGCGAGCUCGUCGCUGGGAGUAAACAUGCCUGUUUUGCCAUGGAGUUAGAAAAACAACUCUAGGAGAGGACGUUACCUCCAAUCUCGUUGCCCAACGCGAUAAUGCACGCUCCUGUCAAGGUUGCCAAAUCCACGAUCUGUUUUUGCAAAGAAGUUUAGCUCAGAUACUUGGUAGCUGCAAAAAAGUAGCUUUUACCUUGUCAACCUUGAGGUUGCAAGCAUAUACAAGCGCGUCCGCCAACGUUAGCCGGCCUUCGGCAUCAGUGUUGUUUACCUGAAACAACACAAUUAAACCAUUUGUGUGUUCUCAAAAUCUUCGCACCUCAAUCGUUUUCCCAUUUGAAGCAGUGAGGAUGUCGCCGGGUCUCAUGCCCGCACCACUGAUCAUGUUUUCGCAUGCCGCAACUAUGAAAUGGACCUGCAAGCAUUCCCUCAGCACAAUUAUACGUAGCGAACGUGUGGAGAGUUACCUCCACUCCGAGAGGCUGAAUAGCUCCAAGAGCUUUUGCUGCACCCAAGGCAGCUGCUGCGCCACCCAUGUCAAACUUCAUGAGCUCUAUGCUCGAGCCUUGGAUCUUCAAAUUGUAGCCACCACUAGUUUAGCAAAAACGUUAUAGCAAACCACAAUAACAUGGAAGCAAUGAAAGAUACCUGUCAAAUGUAAGUCCCUUGCCAAUAAUUGCCAGCUUCGUCUUGACAUCCCCACUUGGUGGCUUGUACUGCAAAUGGAUGAACUUCGGAGGAUUCACCGAAGCAGCAGCGACUCCAAGGUAAGAUCCCAUCUUCAGCUCCUUACACUCGGCUUCGUCAAGAAUUUUGGCCGUGAAAACAUCACUGUGAGAGGAUGCUAUACUUACAGCCUCCUCGGCGAGCGCACCUAGAAUUUUCGACCAAAGGUUACGAAGGAAAGAGAGUUUUCCAAGUCUAGAACUUACUAGGCGUAAGAACAUUGGCAGGUGCAUUGACGAGCUGCCUUGCUGAUAUCACUCCAGUGCAAACUUUCACCAAGUUUUGGAGUUUUUUCUCUAGUUCCGGUGCCGACCCAAGGCCCAAAAUCUCCACUCUCUUCAACUUAGGUGCCUUUGGCUCUGAUUUGAACCUUGUAUCCUCAAAAGAUCCCAGAAUCACUCCUGCAAACUUAAAACGUUAGAGCGAUCACGAACAAUAGUUCGCGAUACCUGAGGUAAUGCCGGACGCUCCAGCGUUUGAAUCAACUCCUUCUUGAUCCAAAGCCGAGAGAACGAUACCAACAGAGCUAGCUUGUGCUGUCUUUGCAGCAGCUGCAAUGGAUUCCCCAACUCCCUUCCACGGUCUGGCCAGCGAGCUCUUCUCCAAUUUGCCAAGCCCGACAAGGCCAAUCCUCUUGAAGCCCUGCCCGGGGAUCCGCACAAACGAUGCCUGGCCGGAUUUCCCAGUGAAAUCCUCCUCCGCUGCGACAUCGGCCAGGAGCCCGUUUAAAUCCUUGUCGAGAAUUCCAAAUGCCUCAUCGCUCAUCCCGCCCUCGAACACGGCAAUUGCGAGCAAAUCCCCCUUCCACUGCGAUACGUCCAGCUCCGAGACGCGCACUUCCAGCUAGAAUCAUCACAAAGAAGAAAAGAAAAAGAAAUCCCGACAGUCAGCCAAGAGAGAUCGAAAAACCUUCGCUCUACCUCUGGAAUCGGCUGCUCCGAUGCCUUGGUGAGGCCGACCGUGGCAAGAUCAGCCGCUGGAGACGACGAAUCGAGCACCGUGCGCGCGUUUCCCACCUUUGUGGACAUAUCGCGCGUCAUGGCGGCGUAGCGGAGGCGAGGAGGAGGACGACGAUUGGAAGCGCUGGCGCACAGACAGUGUGAUGCGGCGCCUAGAACAGCGUCCGCGCCUAACCUCACAGAAACCCUAGCCAAAACGUAGGCCCGGCCCCAAGCACAUAGAGUGGCCGCCAUAGCCUAUGUUAUACUCGCCUUGGCUAUAUGACAUGGUUCCCAGGGGAAAACGCCGACGUGGACAUAAAAGUGCCGCUAGCGUGGCAAAACACAAUCACUAUGACAUGAUUAAAGUCCUGAAGAACACCGUCUCGUGUUUUCCGCCUGACACAAAGUUCAUUUCGCCCAUGCUAGGCAAUUCUUCGUACGAUCACCGCAGGCCUAGAUCGAUCCAUUCUCUGUUAGCGAGCGCUAGAAGUGGAGAACCAAAAAAUUCUUACUUCACGCUGCCAAAGUUUUGUCCCGCUCGCUCGAGAUCGCAAGUUGCAAAUCUGGCACAGUGCCAGAGAUUUUAGUCAUGAAAUGAAACAGUGUGUGGCUCCAAGAAGAACUCUUACUGCUGGCCAGAGCUUUCCUCGAUCGAAUGCGACUGGAUAAUCAAUCCACCAAAGUUUUAAGACGCUAGAGCGAGAUGAUCCAAAGGAGCAAAGGCGGUAUCUAGUGACAAAGAGAUACUUGCUUGGAGAAAAAAGACUCUUACUUCGAGGAACUCGCAGCGAGCGCUGAUUGAUGGACUGCUUUUUAAAAGCUCGCUAGCUAGUACUCGUACGUGGAUAUGUUCUUCCCGAGGAGGCUAGAAGCAAGGAAACAAACAGGGAAUUAGGCAAAAGAAGAGCCUCAAUCAGAGCCACCGACCAUUCAGUGCAUCAAAGAGCUGGCUGUGCGAAAGAAGACACUGGCCUGGUAGAUCCGUUCGUAGUCCAUUCCCAUCGCCUCUCUCGCCUCGAUUCUCGCUCGUUCUACCCCGUUUCUACACGAAAUAUCAAUUGAAUAUUGCGCAAUCGCCAAAUCCCUGGAAAAAAAGCUCUAAGAUCAUGCUUGCCGGCGCCAUUGGCACCUAGAUCUAGCGCCAGCGCUCUCAACCUCGACGAGAAAUCUCUCGCAUUGUCCAGCGCCACUCCAAGAGCCCUAAAAAUACAAACAAAUAGAUUCCCACUUUUAAAAAUCAAACGUUCCUUCCUAUUGGUGGCUCCCUUGUUGCUUGCCCGACGCGAAGCUUACACCGUUGCAUGGAGAUGCCGACGCCGAUGCCAAAAGAUUCUCGCCGGUCGAUCCACUCCUGGCCGCUGCUGCCGCCUCCAAUCUCCUCCACUUGGCCUCCCUCUUGUCCUCCACCACCUUGUGCUUGGCCUCCUCCUCCUCAAACCUCUUCUGGCACUCGCUAAACAGCUCGGGAUCCAUCUCUACCAGCAUCUUGCGGACGUUGAGCGUCAAGUUGUGGACCGUCUGGUUCCAGUGGCUCCGGCUGUUCUUCUCCAGCGAGCUGAACACCAGCGGAAGAAUCACUUGCCGGUUCUGCGCAACCAGGUUGACAAUGUGAUCGUUGUUCCAGAGAAACAGCGCUCUCUCGGCUACCUGUGCGAGAAAGAAAAACCAGUUUUUGUUAGCUUUCGAUCCUGGCAGCGUGAACACUACUGACCUGGAAGUGAGAGCUGUUGAGGCAGCGCGCGAGCUGACGAAACAACGGGACCAUACAGCGCUGGAACUCGGCGGCUUGAGUUCCUUCCAGGAUCUCCUCCAUCUCGCCCAGGAAGAGCACCUCUUUCUGGCUGUUGACAACGGGCCAGUAUUUGAGAAGCCCCCGGAUGACCGUGUCCGCCAGCUUCAGAUCCUUCUCCACGAACUGCGUGAUGCAGUACGAGAGCUGCUGGUGGUACUGCGACACGAACCUCGGCUUGUGCAGCGGGAUGAGCGCCCGGACGAGGAAGAGCUUGUGUUCUUCCUUGAGCGGCAGCGCGAAGCCGUUGAUGAUGCUCCCCAGGAUCUCGAGCAGCUCCGCGAUGCCGUUGUGCCUCUCGGUCUCGAAGAUGAACCGAUAGAAGAUGUUGUUGAUGGCCUUCCGGAUGAAUGGCCGGUGGACCAUGAACUUGCCGUAAAUCCUGUGAAGGAUGGUCUUGAGGUAGUCCCUCUCCCUGGGAUCGUCCGAGUCGAACAGGUCCAGAAGCCUCAGGACGAAGGCGUGGUCGACGUAUCUCUUGGCGAUCUUGGCGUCCGUGUCAGUCGAAACCACGUAGCGCAGCAAAAACUCGUAGACGAGCUGCAAGUGUGGCCAUGCAGGAUCCAUGAUCGGCUCCUCCUCCUCUUGCUCCAAGCUCUCCGACGACCCCGACAAAUCCCUCGCGGAUGGCGGCAAAGAUCGGUGGAUGUUGGCUGUGACCAUCUUCACAACCUCCUCCGACACCACCUCGUUGAGCUUCCCCGUCGUCCCCGAGGAGAUGUAGUCGACGAGCUCCAGCAGCGUCUGGCGCUUCAUCUCUUUCUCCUUUGGAUUCUUGGACGAGUCCGUGAAGUCGAAGGUGAUGGAGCAGAGCUUGAGCUUCCGGACGAGUAGCGCUUGGCGGUCGGAGCUGGGAACGUCCUUGAGCGACACUAGCGGAUCUGAGAAAGAGGUGGGUUGUCCAUUCAAGGAGCUCUGGAGCUCCAGAGGCUUCGCUUGCAAGCUCUGGUACUGCUGCUGCUGCUGCUGCUGCUGCUGUAUCAAAGGGCCGGAGCUACUCCUAUAAGCGGUGGCAGCAGUAGCGCUGGAUUUCCCGGCCGCCGCGCCCGCGCGACCAUUCUGAUGAGCUACCCCAUUGGAUUUCCUAUCCCCGGACGAUUCAUUGUCCACUUUGGUCGAUGCCGAGAGCUUGGGAAACCAAUACCGCCAUUUCUUCUUCAUCCCUGCGCAGGGCGAGCCUCACAUCUAGCAAUGUAUCCUUUCCCUGCCGCAGAUCCUUGCCCCAGCGGCGGCCUAAAACCCUCAAAUUCCGGAGAUCCACGCCGAUCUUACCUCGCAGCCAGCGAAUGCGCGGCAUUCUCCAUACCUCGCGAAGAACAGCCGGAUCUGUGGCCGGCAGAUCCAGCCCAUGGGGAGGCGACCCCCGCCGAUUCGUGGCCACAGUAGGGAUUGCAGCCGCGGCAGCUCAAUCGCGAGCGGAUCUUCGCUGCUCGUCCCUCAAACCCUAGGCGCUAUCUACCUAUCCAUCGCAGCCGCAAACAAUACUCUAGCAAUGAGAUAGAAUAUAUAAGUGAUUAUAGCCCCAAAGCUCUGGCAAAAUAAAUGAGAGGAUUCUAGAUCCUUGGAAUCUCCCCCCACGAAAGAAGAGCUCUUCUUCCAAUCUUGCUUUCGAUCGUUCGUUCGUCAUGCUACAUUUCUCGAUCCGGGAGGAAUGCCAGCUCCAAGCGCGCAGGAUCUCGCGGCGGCGGCGCGGCAGUGCGGCGGUGCCAGGGAUCUCGCCUCCGCCCGACGCCUGCACGCUAGGGUUUGCUCCAGCGAGCACCGUGCGAGCCUCUUCCUCGCGAAUCUGCUCAUCGAGAUGUACGGGCGAUGCGGCGGCGUGGAGGACGCGCGCCAGUUGUUCCUCUCGCUGCCGGAUCCCAAUGUUUUCUCCUGGAAUAUCAUGAUCCAGUGCCUGAUCCAGAAUGGACUCGUCGAGGAGGCAGCGGGGACGUUUGAUCAGAUGCCGGUCAGGAGCAUCGUCUCCUGGAAUUCGAUGAUCGCGGCGAAUGCUCACGCUGGAAACAUGCGCCAGGCACUGGAUCUCUUCGAUCGGAUGCCGCAGAAGGACAUCGUCUCUUGGAACUCGAUCAUCUCUGGCUACGUCCAAAACGGAGAAAUCUCGAAAGCGCUAGCUCUCUUCGAUCGGAUGCCCGAGCACGAUGUUUUCUCUUGGUCAGCGGCGAUCAUAGCAAAUGCCCAGAUAGGGAAUCUUGCGGCCGCUGUGAUCAUCUUCUCCACAAUGGCGGAGUGGAAUGUGAUCGCCUGGAACUCCAUGAUCACCUUGUACGCGCAGAAUGGAUUCCUCCGUCACGCCAAGAGCUGCUUCGAUUCGAUGCCCGAGCGAGACAUGGCUUCCUGGAAUGCGAUGCUGGCAGCAUUUGCCCAUGGCGGGAUGAUCCAAGAGGCGAUCGAUCUCUACCACCUGAUGCCACGAUGGGACACUCUCUCCUGGAACGUAAUGAUCUUCGUGUUCGCGGCGGCAGGAAAGAUCCACAGAGCCAGGGAGAUCUUCGACAGCCAGCGAGAGAGAAGCCCGAGCUCUUGGAACUCGAUGAUCGCGGCCUACGCGCAGAUGGGCGAUUUGGAAGAAGCUCGCAGGCUGCUGGAAGCGAUGGCGCUGCCGGAUCCUCUGUCCUGGGCACCACUGCUAGCUGCUUACGCACAGAAGGGAGAGAUCGCGGAAGCAAAAUCCCUGUUUGAUCGGCUGGAUCGCAACAAGAGCAUCGUCUCCGCAAACUCGAUGAUCUCGGCCUACACGAUCUCCGGCAAGAUCGACGCGGCUGCCACGAUCUUCGACCAGAUGCCCCAGAGAAAUACCGCUACUUGGAACGCGAUGCUCGCGGCGUAUGCCCAAAGCGGCGAUGUCUCCAUCACGACCAGAUUCUUCCACUCCAUGCCGGCUCGCAGUGUCGUCUCGUGGACCACCAUGAUCGCGGCAGUGAGCGAGAGCGGCGAUCCAGGCCUGGCCAGGAAGAUCUUCGACGGAAUGUUGGAUCGAAGCACUGUCUCCUGGAACUCGAUGAUCACGGGGUAUGCCAGUAACGAUCUCUCCGACCAAGCGAUUGUGCUCUUCCAGCUGAUGAUCGCGGAAGGAGUCCAGCCCGAUGAGAUCACUUUCGUGGCUGCUCUAGCCGCUUGCGCCGACUCGCAAGACUUAGAACAAGGCCAGCGAAUCCAUAGCAUGAUCGCGGAGUACGAUUCCAAGGCAACUUCCACCACCAUCGCCACCAGCGUUUCUUCGUCUCUCAUCGCCAUGUAUGGGAAGUGUGGCUGCCUCGAGACCGCUGCUCACGUCUUCCACAGCGUUGCUCGCAAGGAUCUGGUCUGCUGGAACGCGAUGAUCGCGAUUUACGGCCAAGCUGGUCACAUCGUCCGGUCCCUCGAGACCUUUCACAGCCUACACCUGGAAGGAAUGCUGCCGGAUCAAGUCACGUUCGUCUGCGUUCUAGCUGAUUGUAGCCACGCUGGUCUGCUCGAAGUUGGCUACCAGAUCUUCUGCUCGAUCACUGUGAGCUACGGACUAUCCUUGCUCGGAGAUCACUGCCGCUGCAUGGUUGAUCUCCUCGGACGCUCUGGCCGGCUGGAAGAGGCCGAGGAGUUGAUACGUUCCAUGCCAUCCCAGGCGGGGAGCUCCGCCUGGACGAGCCUGCUUGCUUCUUGCCGGAUCCAUAGCGACGCACGGCGAGCCGCCAGAGCCGGGCGGUAUGCUAAAGCACCAGUUUUGCUCACCAAUAUCCUCGUCGAAAGUCACUGAUAUUUUUUUUUUAGUUUUCCAUAGAUCAUAGGCGAGAAGUAUCGAUGAAGAACACGAAACAAUAUCCUCCGCGUAGAGCUGGAAAACGUUGAAUGCUUCGAUGCUGCAAACUUGAAAGUUGUAGCAAAAUAGACUACCUCUUCCCACAGGAGCAGCGUUUCGCAGGCGUCAAAUUCAUAUUCCAGUGGCUCGUAGAUUUUAGAUUGCCUCCUUAACAUAUUUCUAUGUCGUGCACAAGUGUGUUUAUAGUCCUACUGUGAAGCAUUCCACUAGGAACUGUAGUGUUCGUCAGCGAAUUGUUGUUAACAAGCAAGUAGCAAGAAAAAAAAUUGAAGAAAGCACAACAUGAGUUUGAUAAAACCACUGUAGUGUUUGACUCCUCGGAAUCCAUUUUUUUUAUGUUCCCAUGCGCUCCACGUGGUUGUGGUAGUAUAAAAUGGCGCAGUUUCCAGCCUAACUCUCACUCCUCUCUAGUGUGUUUCUUAUAAGAUCAUGGCUCUCACAGCAGCUCCAAAGUUCUACAGCAUCGAGUCAGUUGCUUAUCCUGGCUACUAUGUUACUCAGCAAGGCACCCAGAUUGUUCUCAAGUCCAAGGACGCGCUCAAUCCCUUCCAGGUAAUCCGUGAUCCAGAUCUCGAACUUAUCAAGAUCACGUAGAACUGAUCAAAGUUUUUAUCAUCUUGGUUUUGAUGGGUAACUCUUCUGCAGCUGUGGUACAGGGACGAGUCAUGGCAGUUCCUGACCCAGGAGAUCAGUGACCUCUCUGCGUUCGUGUUUAUAAACCACGGCUCCAAGAAAGCUCUCCGCUCCCAGGAAAUCGCAACUUCUCGACACUUUGCCAAGGUAUAGCAUCACUGCAAGUUUGUCUCACUUAAAUACGUUUGCUCAAAAUGAAAUGAAAGGCUACUGUUCGAGACUAUGAUCCGGCUGUCGAGGACGAUUCUCUCCUCUGGUCUGUUAGCCGAAGCUCGGACGAUCAAGUUUCGAUCACAAUGACUGGGAAUUCGUCUGUGUUCUUGAGCCACACUUCCUCAAGUUCCAACUUCAAAGACGGGGUACCGGUGGUGACAUCCACCAGCGGUGGAAGCUCCCGGUGGAAGCUCGUCACUUACGGUAAUCCUCUGGACUUGUGGCCAAUUCCCUUUGAUCUUCUCGUUGUGCUGCACAGAGCCUUCUCAAGUGUACAGGAUUCUGUGUCACUGGUUUGGGCAGUACUUGACUUGGAAGCAGCAAAAUGUGGACGUAACUUUCAAGGAUGCAAUCAAGCACAACGACGAGACAAACGUGGUGGCUGUUAGUCCAAACAACAUUUCUCUCGACGGCAUGGUUUGUAACUUUGAUCUGACACUAUCAUCUUGGAUCUCAAAUGUGUUAUCAUAAUAGAUAUGGUACAAGGUUCCUGCCGGAGGCCGAGACGAUACUACGUACUUCACCUCGUUCAUCCUCAUAAACAAGGUGACUGGUUUAGCACUGAAAGGGUCGACAAAGCCGGGAGACAAGGUACUCUUUGAAAACUUUGAGGAACUUUGCAAACUAAACUUGGACGAUCGUCGCAGGUGCUCUUGACUCAAUAUGAUCCUCUCGACUACGGUUUCGUGUGGUCUGAGAACCGAUUCCAGGCUUCAAACACGGACUAUCUCGCAAUCAAUCUGGAUGGAACAAACUUGCAGUGGGCUCUGCAGAACGAUGAUCAGUACCAGAACAGUGCGUGGUACCAUCCUCUCACGCUCCGCCCGGCAUCUGCAAACCAAGGAUAUCUUGAGCAGCAGGCCUGGAAAUUCAAUCCAGUGGUGGCAGGCAGUUAACCAUGAACCAUGCUGUACUCAUUACCAGUUUUCUUCUUGCAAAUAAAACUCCCUGUUUGAUUAUGAUCGGCUCGAUCAUCGUCUCCGCAAACACGAUAAUCUCAGGCUAAUCUCCGGCAAGAUCGCCUCAGCUCCCAGAAUCUUCGAGAUGUCCCGCGACUUCGUAAGCCCAAAGCGGCGAUGUCUAGAUUCUUCCACUCCAUGCCGGCUCGCAGCGGCGUCUUGUGCUCCAGGCCUGGCCAGAAAGAUCUUGUUUGAUCGAAGUCCUGUCUCUUGGAACUGUCUCUUGGGUGAUCGCGAUUUACGGCCAAGCUGGUCGCAUCGUCCGGUCCCUCCAGAUCAUUCACAGCUUCCACUUGAAAGGAAUGCUGCCGGAUCAAGUCACGUUCGUCUGCGUUCUAGCUGCGUGUAGCCACGCUGGUCUGCUCGAAGUUGCGUACGAGAACUUCUGCUCCAUCACUGUGAACUACGGGCUUUCCUUGCUCGGAGAUCACUGCCGCUGCAUGGUUGGUCUCCUCGGAUGCUCUGGCCAGCAGGAAGAGGCCGACGCAUGCCAUCGCAGCCGGUGCCUGGACGAGCCUGCUAGCUUCUUGCCGGAUCCAUAGUGACGCACGGCGAGCUGCCAGAGCCGGGCGGUAUGCUAAAGCGCCAGUUUUGCGUCCUCGUCGAGAGUCACUAUUUCCCAUGGCUGCGUUGCUCCUCCUGCUGUGGUCUGAUGCACACUAGGUCCUCGAGCUUGUUGCCGUCGAUCUUGUACAUGGUGACGCCUUCCAUGGCGCGGUAAUGGUGUUGAGCUUGACUCCUCAGGGAGUUCACGCUUGUUUUCUCCCACUUUGCGUAGUUUGAGUUCUUGCGGGUCUCGCUCAUGUCUUUUGAUCCUGACAGGCGUCCAUUUCGAGAUGAACUUCCCCAUACUUUGCAGUUCUUGAAAGCUCCAUGGUCUUUGCCAGGCUUUCGUUUGAGUCCCAUUGCUGCGUAGUAGGCUGCGUUUACUGUCGCUCGGGUCGGAAUGACCGACCAGUCUUGCUUUCUGGCUUCUCGCAUUGGAGAAUGCAGCCUCAUUGUCUGUAUACACGGAGACUGUCAAUGAUAAUCCAUAGUCGUUCUUCUUACCCCGAGGCACUCCAACAGUUGAUAGUAGGCUCUGCCUUGUAGUGGAUUGUGUCCCUUGCGAGGAGCCGAGAAGUAACGAGUCCUAUAGAUGAAAAGAAUGGUACAAUGAUAAGAAGUUGGAAGAAGUGUGAGUCAAUACCAUUCCGUGUAGCCUGGAUCCACCGUAAAACCAUACAUAUCCACCGAGUCACACAUUGACAAGGCGAGCUCCAAAGACUUAAUGCCUGUCCCUUUCGCUCCCCGACGGAAAACUACACCUUGGAACAAGUAGACAGGAUUCGGAAGAAGCUGUAAAAGAUAAAACUCAGUUAGCAAACAGCAUAGCAAGCGUCAAAGGCCCUAUUACUUUUAUUUUAGCGUUGAAGUCCCGAUGUAUAACACUCUUGAUAAUCAACACUUCAUCAUCUGCAAAAAUCCUCUUUUGCAUUAAGCCAGUACUUCGUUCAUAGACUUCUAGUACGUACCAGAUCCCUUUGCAACCUCAAGCAGGUUUCUUACUACUCCACGAGCCAUCAAUCGAAAACUCCGUUUCAUGCCAACAUGCUUUGCGUAUUUCUGUGAAAAGAAAGCAACUUUUGCGAGCUCAGUAGUACGCAACCUUUGUGAGGUGAUUACCGUGGUCACUGGUGCCUCAUUGUCUCGGAUGACAAUAUCGUGAGCAUCUAUCUCCUUUCCAAACUCCGUCUUUAAAAGGUCUCCCGAGUUCCCCACCACCGCACAGGUCCUAAACUGGCGCGGCCAAAACGGUGGCUUUGGCGGUAGUAUCAACUCGAGAUGUUCUUCGCACAGGCUUCGAUUGGAACAGUUAGCUGCACCCCUGCACAACUAGAUUAAAAACUUCCAUCAACAUCAAGCUUAGCUUACAGUUGAGCUAUUCGUUUCGCAGCGUAGUCCAUCCACCCAUCGGGACGUGCAUCCAAAUACUCGCGAGUCAAUAUCGUUGUGACGUUUCGAUACUGCAAACUCAAAAGCGUUAUUUGAAUCAAGAGCAAAAUUUGCAGCAAAUUACCUGUUCCCACAGGAGCAGCGUCUCGCAGACGUCAAAUUCAUACUCCAGUGGCUCGUAGAUUUUGAACUGCUCAUUACGCUGUACCGAGUAAACUUGUAAGCUUCGAUCACGCAAAAAUAUUGCUAGUUACUUACCCAGGUACUAUUUGUUCCCUCCGGAUAUUUCAGCACGAUCUUGCAAGCAUCCUUCACGGUUGCAGUCAAUCCAAGCCCAUUUCUCUCCUGUAAAAAGAAAGCAUUGAAGCAUCACUACUCUCCAACGAAGAAAACAAAGGAAAAAACAUAUAAGAUCGAGAAAACUUACCACGCAUUUUUGGACUUGACGCUGGAACGAAUCAAGUGUAGAAGCGUCCCGAUCUCGCAAGAAAAAGAAAAAUCCCGGGCGCUGCAAGCCUACAUUUCUCCCGCAACAAAGAUCGAUCGAUCCACAUCCAACAAUCGCAGCGAGAUACCUUCCAAGAAGAAGAGCCCUUGGGGCGCCAGGAACAGGAGGCAGAUCAGGGACACCAGCGCCGCAAUCGCAAGUGGGAGCGACAGUAGCAAGGCUCGCUGCCGCCGCUGCUGCUUGGGCGGCUGCUUCCACGCCAUUUUUCGCCCCCUCCUACGCACGGAUCAAGCGAGCUCCUCCCUGUAAACCUAGCUCGGGGAGCAAUGCUCAGCUGUCAGAUUAAAGCAGGCUCAGUUAAUUAACAUGUUAAUGGAGGUAUAGCUCAGCGGCUGCAGUCCGAUAGGUCACCAGUUCAAUCCUUCGCCAAUAAAUUCUUCUAUCAAAACAAAUCUGUCAGCGUUGGUCUUUAUAAGCUGGACGCCACCAUCGAUAACCUUUCAGCCAACGCUACAAAGUCAGUGUAAGAAGUGUAAGAAGUGUAAGGAAGUGGAAGGCAGUGUGAAACACAUGGGAUAAUGCGAGAGAAGCUUGCCACUAUAUAAAUUGGCAUACGUUCAAAGAGCUCUAUAACUUCACACUCAUCCCUUUGGCUUCUCAAAAGCUUUAGUCUUUUCUUAAGAGUUUAGAGACAUGGCUCUCACAGCAGCUCCAAAGUUCUACACCAUCGAGUCCGCUGCUUAUCCUGGCUAUUGCAUUACUCAGCAAGGCACCCAGAUUGUUCUCAGGUCCAAGGACGCGCUCAACCCCUUCCAGGUAAAAUCUUUGAAAAUCUUUGCCGGUUGUCGAUCAUCAUGGGAAACUCUUGUGCAGCUGUGGUACCGGGAUGAGUCAUGGAACUUGCUGAACCAGGACUCCGCGUUCGUGUUUGUAAACCACGGCUCUAAGAAAGCUCUCCGGUCCCAGGCACACUCAACGUCUCGAAGCAAGGUAAACAGAAAACAGUAUUCAUACUAUACACUGUUGCUGAUCAUAUGGAAUUUUGAUGGCAAAAGGCUACUAUUGGAGACUAUGAUCCGGCAGUCCAAGACGAUUAUCUCCUGUGGCGUAUUUCCGGGAGCCACGAAAAUCAAGUCUUGAUCACCAUGACUGGAAACAAGUCAUUUUUUCUGAGCCACACUUCCUCAAGUGCUAGCUUCAAGGAUGGGGUGCCAGUGGUGACAUCCAACAGCGAUGGAAACUCUCACUGGAAGCUCGUCACUUACGGUAAGCUCAUGAAUCAUAUGAUUUGUUCUUCUCGGUUGUGGCUCAUAUAUAUGAUGAUGAUGCACAGAGCCUUCUCAAGAGUACAGGAUUCUAUGCCACUGGGUUGGGCAGUACUUGACUUGGAAGCAGCAAAAUGUGGAUGUAACUUUCAAGAAUGCAAUCAAGCACAACGACGAGACAAAUGUGGUGGCUAUUCAUCCAAGCAACGUUCCUCUCGACGGCAUGGUUUGUACUUUUGUCGUUCUUUGUAAUCUUAUCUCAUUCUAUUUGAUUACAUAUAGACAUGGUACAAGGUUCCCGCUGGAGGAAGAGAUGAUACCACGUACUUCACCUCGUUCGUUCUCAUAAACAAGGUGACUGGUCUUGCUCUCAAGGGGUCAACCAAGCCGGGAGACAAGGUAACUAGUGCACACUGUUGAAAACUUGAAGAAGUUUGCAAACUAAACGAAUUGGAUGAUCAUGGCAGGUGCUCUUGACUCAAUAUGAUCCUCUCGACUACGGUUUCGUGUGGUCUGAGAACCGAUUCCAGGCUUCACUCACGGACCAUCUCGCGAUCAAUCUGGAUGGAACCAACUUGCAGUGGGCUCUGCAGAACGACGAUCAGUACCAGAACAGUGCGUGGUAUCAUCCUCUCGUGCUUCGCCCGGCAUCUGCAAACCAAGUAUUUAAUACGCAGCAGGCCUGGAAAUUCAAUCCAGUGGUGGCAGGGAAUUGACUAUCAGCCAUGUUGUAUACAUAAGGGACACGCUUACCACUUUUCUUCUUGCAAAUAACAAGACUUUUCACGGGAAAAAGAAGCUGAGCACUCCCCAUUUGUUUCCUUUUCCCAUGGAAGCCAUGAGUUUUCGUUCAUUUCCAGUGUCUGCAAGGAUCGACGAUUUAAGAUAAAACAAAAACAUUAUGACUAUCGACUAUCAUUCCAUAUAGACCAUAAAACCAUACAUAUCCACCGAGUCUAGAAUUUACUACGUACCAGAUCCCUUUGCAACCUCAAGCAGGUUUCUUACAACUCCACGAGCAUCAACCGAAAACUCCGUUUCAUGGCAACAUGCUUUGUGUAUUUCUGUGAAAUGUAAAAUAAAUAAAUAAAUCAACUUUUGUGAGCUCUCAGUAAGAUGCAAGCUCUAGAUGAUUACCGUGGUCACUGGUGCCUCAUUGUCUCAGAUGACAAUAUCGCGAGCAUCUAUGUCCUUUCCAAACUCCGUCUUCCAAGUUUCCCACCUGUCUCAAACUGGCGCGGCCAAAACAAUGGCUUUGGCGAUAGUAUAUGUUCUUGGAACAGUUAGCUGCACCCCUGCACAACGAUAUAAAAAACUUCCAUCAACGUGAAGCUUAGCUUACAGUUGUGCUAUUCGUUUCGCAGCGUAGUCCAUCCAGCCAUCGGGAAGUUUCCGAUGCUGCAACCUCAAAGUGUUACUUCCAGAGCAAUGAAGAGCAAGAAAGACCGAUCAAUUCACAUCCAACAAUCGCGGCAAGAUCUUGCCUCACCUUCGCAGAUCAGGGACGCCAGCGCCGCAAUCGCUGCCGGCUUCUUCUACGCCAUUUCUCGCUCCCUCCUCCCUCGCAUUCUCUGUCAACCUAGCCAAUCGCCUGCAGUCCGAUAGGUGACUAGUUCGAUCCUAGUUGCCUCCUUAUCCGAUGAAUCCCAUGCGCUCCACGAGGUUGUGGUGGUAUAAAAUGGGCCUAGAUCUCAGAGUUACUCUAGAUCUUAAGAAUGGAACCUCUCACAGCAGUUCCAAAGCUCUACACCAUCGAGUCCACUGCUUAUCCUGGCUACUGCAUUACUCAGCAAGGCACCCAGAUUGUUCUCAAGUUCAAGGAUGCGCUCAAUCCCUUCCAAGUAUCAAUCUGUAUCAAUCCAGAUCUAGCAUCUUGGUUUUGAUCUCUUGUGCAGCUCUGGUACAGGGAUGAGUCAUGGCAGUUCCUGGGCGAGGAUAACAGUGACCUCUCCGCGUUGGUGUUUAUAAACCACGGCUCCAAGAAAGCUCUUCGCUCCCAGUCAUCCUCAACUUCCCGGAGCAUUGCCAAGGUAUAUAAAUCACUACAAGUUUGUCUCACACUUGAAUUUUUCUCUAUCCAGCUUACUGUUGGAGAUUAUGAUCCGGCAGUCGAGAACAAUUCUCUCCUCUGGUCUAUUUCCGACGAUCAAGUCUUCGUCACAGAGACUGGGAAUUCGUCCGUGUUUUUGAGCCACACUUCGUCUUCGAGGUCCAGCUUUAAAGACGGGGUGCCAGUGGUGACAUCUGCCCAGGGUGAAAACUCUAGGUGGAAGAUCGUUGCUUAUGGUAAUCCUCUAGACUUGUGGUCAAUUCCUUUUGAUUUUCUCGUUGUGCUGCACAGUGCCUUCUCAAGUGUACAGGAUUCUGUGUCACUGGUUUGGGAAUUACUUGACUUGGAAGCAGCAAAAUGUGGACGUAACUUUCAAGGAUGCAAUCAAGCACAACGACUAGAUAAACGUGGUGGCUGUUAGUCCAAACAACAUUUCUCUCAACGGCAUGGUUUGUGACUUUGUCUGAUACUAUCAUCUUGGAUCUCAUUCGUAUUAUUGUAAUAGGCAUGGUUCAAGGUUCCUGCUGGUGGCCGAGACAAUACCACGUACUUUACCUCGUUUAUCCUAAUAAACAAGACUGGUCUAGCACUCAGGAGACAAGGUAAGUCCUAAAACUUUUGAAGGACUUUGCAAGCUAAACGAAAGAUACCUUUUUCAUGGCAGGUGCUCUUGACUCAAUUUGAUCCUCUCGACUACGGUUUUGUGUGGUCUGAGGACCGAUUCCAGGCUUCAAACACGGACUACGUGGCCAUCAAUCUGGAUGGAACGAACUUGCAGUGGUCUCUGCAGAACGACGAUCAGUACCAGAACAGUGCGUGGUAUCAUCCUCUCGUUCUUCGCCCAGGAUAUGUUGAGCAGCAGACCUGGAAAUUCAAUCCAGUGGUGAACAAUGUUUAGCUGGGACUUUU